CAGCUUCAAGAGAUUAGUAUUGGAAGGUGUGGAAAUCUGGAGUCCUUUCCCGAAGGGGGAUUGCCUUGUGCGAAACUGAGUAAGCUCAGGAUCCAUGGGUGUGAGAGACUGGAGGCCUUACCCAAGGGAUUGCACAAUCUGACCUCUCUUCAAGAAUUAACAAUAGGAAGAGGAGUUGAGCUUCCAAGCCUUGAAGAAGAUGGCCUUCCCACCAACCUUCAUUCACUGUGGAUUGCGGGUAAUAUGGAGAUUUGGAAGUCAACGAUUGAGUGGGGUCGGGGAUUCCACAGAUUCUCCUCUCUGCGACAACUUAGAAUCAGCGGAUGCGAUGACGACAUGGUGUCAUUCCCACCAAAGGCAGAUGACAUAAGAUUGGGGACCGCGCUUCCUCUUCCUGCCUCUCUAACAUCUCUGUUGAUUUUCAGUUUUCCAAAUCUGGAACGCCUAUCUUCUUCAAUUGUUGAUCUUCAAAACCUCACUGAAUUGUAUCUCGAGGAUUGUCCCAAGCUCAAAUACUUUCCGGAGAAGGGCCUGCCUUCCUCACUUUUGCAAUUAUACAUCGGGGGAUGUCCGUUGAUAGCAGAGAAGUGCAGAAAGGAUGGAGGACAAUAUUGGGACUUGUUAACCCAUAUACCUUAUGUUGUAAUAGAUCGUAAAUGGGUUUUUGAUGACGACUCAACAGAAGACUGAAAUAUUUUAUUAGUAGUUUUUUUUUUUUUUAAAUUGGGCGUGUAUUAUGUGUUGGUGAUUAAUGGGUUUUCGAAAUAAAAAGAACAAUGGGCUCGCAUUAUUUAGCAAAGGAGGAGGACUCUAUUAAUUAAUUUCUUAUGCCUAUCUCAUUCUCAGCUGUAAGUUUCUUAUAUUUGUUCUUCCGCCGUAUGGUUACAUAUGUAAAAUAUUUUAUUAUUAGAAUUUUUUUCUUUUAAAUCAAGCGUGUUUGUGUAUGUAAUUUUAAAAUUCAAAUCUCAGUUGAUAAAUUAAUAAAAAGAAAAAUGUUAAGUAGAGUAAGGGGCUCGCAUUAUUUUAGCAGCGGGGGACAUGUAUAUUAAUUAAUUAAUUAAUGGAUUAAUUUCUUAUGCGUAUCUCAUGCUUAGCCGUUAGAAAUAAACUUCAUUUUCUUUUAUUUAGCUGUACGGUUAUAUAUGUGUAAUAUUUCUCUUGAUCAAACUUCGACAAAAAUUGUUAAUGUUCUUAUUAGUAAUUAAUUAGUGUUUGUACAUCGUCAUCAAAUUCUAUAACACCCAAAACAGAAAAUCAAAAGAAAACAAGAACAUGCCACACAAUAAAGCCAAGAAAAUAUCAAAAACGAAAAAGCAAACGAAGCCAAGCAUUUGCCCCAAAAAAAAUCAAAAACAAAAAACAAACGAAGCUACGUACAUUUCGAUUUUUGUGGCCUUAACUUAAUAUCUUCACCAGAACUCAUCAGCAAUGACGUUAUAAUGUUCUUUUAAUGCCUAUUGUAAAGUGGUUUUUGAGUGCUAAUUAAACACACGAGGGCUAGACCAUAUUACAAAAUUAAUUAUAAUCUUCAAUUGCUAUUAGUAUGAAUUUAUAAAUACAAUUUCAUCAGUUACUGAAUAUUUGAAUUCACCAACUGCAAUGGAUCUUCAUAUUAACACAUCAAUAUGACAGAAAAGAGAAUAUCUUCAUGAAUUGGAGUGGGAUAAAUUUUUUUUCCUCUUAAAAUGCAUAAUAAAGGCCAAAGAAAAGACUUUUUUUCUUUUUUAAUUUUCAUUAACAAUAAACCAGGCGUAUUAAUGGCUAUAUUAAUGAAUUGAUUUCUUAUUGAGUGCAAAUGUGUAAUGUAUAAUGGCUAUCUCUUUCUCAGCUGUUGAAAUAUCUAUAUAUAUAUAUAUAUAUAUAUAUAUAGUUACAAAAGCACUUUAUUACAUAAUAUAUAGCAUUUUAUUACAUAAUCUUCGUACAUAUAAACCAUCAUCAAAUUCGAUAACAACAAAAACAGAAAAUCAAAGGAGAAAGUGAAUAGAAUUUAAAAAGCAAAAUAAGCAAAACGUUGGCCCCAAAAAAAUUUAAAAACAAAAAGCGAACUAAGCAAAGCAUCGUCACUAGAAGAAUUACUUUUAAGCUUUAGUGGGCUUAAUUAAUUUUAAGCUUCAGCUGCCUUAAUAUAUUCACCAAAAGGAUUACCAGCUGCGUCAUCAGCAUUAAUAAUACGAGUUAAUAAGCCUAAGCUGACUCUUCCCUCAGCAAUAAUGUUAAAAUGUUUUUUUAAUGGCGUUGCAAAGUGGUUUUUGGUUGCUAAUUAUAAGCAGAUGAAGGCUGGACUGUAUCACACAAUUAUUUAUACUCCCUAAUUUAAUGCACUUUAAGCAACUUCUUGAAUUAAUCGUUUCUGUACCUUCGCUAUUAGUAUUUAUAAAUACAAUUUAACAGUUAUUGAACUUUUGGAUUCGUCAAAAUUGUUGCAAUUACAAUGAAUCUUCGUGUUAACACAUUAAUAUCACAGAAGAGGACGAAUUAGGAGUGGGAUAAAUAUUUUUCCCCUCAAAACGCAUACUAUAUGCCAAAGAAAAAGACUUUUUUUUAAAAAAAAGAUAUUUUUAUCAACUAUAAACCAAGCGUAUUAAUUUCUUCUAGUGUUGUAGGACUAGGAUUUAUAAAAAGCAGUUUAUUGUUGUCAAUACAUACAAGCCUUCCUCAAAAACCCAUCAAAAUACAUUAAAUAGAGCAUCCAAAUAGAAACAUCUCACAACAAAACCAAGAAAAGAUCAUAAACAAAUAGCACAUCAAGCAAAGCAAUCACUUCUUUCUUUAAUCAAUUACAUUUGAGCCUUGGUAGCCUUAAUAUCUUCAUUGGAAGAAUUACCAGACUCUUCAUCAAUGUUAAUAACCUUAGGCUGCCUCUUCUUCUACGCAGCAAGCUUUGGUACUGUGACCCUCAGAAUCCCAUUUUCCAUGUGAGCCUUAAUAUGAUCCAAGUCAGCACUCAUAUGCAUCCUAAACUGCCUCCAAAACUUGCCAAAUGUCCUCUCAGCUCUGUGCCAUUUCUCUCCUUCAACUCCCUCCUUAUAAUAAUCAUUACUCUUCCUCUCCCCACUCACUCUCAGUACUCUGUUCUCUUCAACUUCAAUCUUCAUAUUAUCUUUCUUCAUCCCUGGAAUGUCGAGCGUGAUCAUGUGGGCUGUUGGUGUCUCCAUCCAGUCUGCUCUCGCUGGGGCUAGAGUUUGAUGAUGAUCAGCUCCUUUUGCGAUUGUUAAAGGGGUUUGUUCAAGAACCCUGAAAGGCUCUUCCGUCAUUGGGAACAUCAUGUCAAAGAAAGGUGAUUGUGUGCACGGCAUCAGAGCGUUUGCUUGUGAUGCCAUGUUCAUCAAUGUUGCUGCCAUAACAAGAAACAACAUUGUCAUUGCAAGAAUUCUUGGUUUUGCCAUCUGGGUAGCUAGCUAGCUUUUUGAGAGUGUUUGUUUGAAGCUAAGUGUUCGUCGAUUUUCUGGUGAAAUGGAGGGAGGUGAAUUAGAGAGAUAUAUACACUUUAGACUGGAUUAUAGCUCGAUAUCUGAAUAGUUCUUUAGAAGUCUUUGCGAUAGAAACUUAGGGAAAAUUCUAGCACUGCGUAGAGACUAAACGUUUUGCAGAAUGUUCUGAAGAUUGAAAUUCUUUUGAUUUGGGAAUCUUAGUUGGAAGCUUGGCUAGAAUUAGAAUAUGCCACAUGUUACUUAAAAUAGUUUUGUAUUAAUAUUUAACCAAUUACUCGUAACUUAAUAUAAAACACAAUUUGAUCAUUAUUUUAUAAAUCUACAGUGGAAUUGUUCAAAUAUGAGCUUUAUUGAAACAGUAAUGGAGAUUGUUACAGAACCUUACACCAGACUUUUCAGAGAACAAGUUCACACUUUCUCUCUCAUAAAACCCUCUCUGCAAGACUCAUGAAAAUCGUUGUUGAAUCACCCCAAAAAACCAGCCUUUAUACUCUGUUUGGGUAGCUUCCUUGAUUUCCAGAAUAAGCCGCUCGUUGACACGUGGUUUAACAACCUUAACGAACUCUGAAAACCUUUGUCACAUGCUUCCUCACGUGGUCACUUAAACUGAUACACAAAACGCGCUUGAGCUCUGUCGUUUCGAUCAGUUCGUUUUCUGUUAAGAACCAGCUGAGAAGCACGUGAGCUUAAUGAAGCUUUACAGCUCCAAAACACGGUCGUUUCUAGAACCAACUUGAUUCAUUCAUCUCACAAUAGUUUUGUAUUAAUAUUUAACCAAUUACUCGUAACUUAAUAAAAAACACAAUUUGAUCAUUAUUUUAUAAAUCUACAGUGGAAUUGUUCAAAUGAAAGCGCAAUUGGGAAAAUAAUUUGUCUCAAUUCACAUGGGAGACAACACUAAUCAGUGUUGUCAUAUAUUAUAAUCUCAAAACGUCACAAAUGGAUAUUAACGUCACAAAUGUUGAUUUUAGAUUUAUUCACGACAACUAAGGCGUGAUGGGUAUCAUCAUCAGGCAAUAGAAAUAAAUCAUGACAAAUGACAAUACCGUUUUUUAGUUAACUAUUUGUACGAUGCUUUUGAAUUUAGCUAUGCGAUCCAAAGCUCGAUCAAAUUCGCUUUCUUCCAGUGCAAUUGUGAAGCGGCAAUAGCUAGGAAUUCUAGUCCACGAACCACUGUUGAUGCAUAAACCAGAUGCCUUGACUAUGGCUUCCCUAAUAUUUGAGUCAUCAAGCUUGAUUUGUUCUGUAGCUGUUUUCUCACCACUGGUAGUCAUCAAGCAAAACAGAGGCACAAUUUAAGUGGUUCGGCCUGGAGAACAGGGCAGCAAUCUUAUCUCCAUCACCGAGAUCAAACUACAAACAUUAAGAAGAAGUUACAAGCUUUUCAUAUGUCUCAACUAUAGCCUCUAAGACUAUAUAUACAUAUCAUGAAGAGUCUAGAAAACUCCCCCACUCACUAGCUGCAUUCCGGGUUUGUUAUAACAAACCCAGAAUUUUCCCGCCUUGUAAAGGUCAGUUAACAACCUUGAAUCAAGUACUUAACCCGUGCUUCAGUAAGUGACCAAAACGACUGCCAAAUGUGCCGUAUAGAGUAAAUGGAAUCACAUGAACAACAUGUGAUUUAAUUGCAGGAAGUAAACGAUAAUACACACAGGUCAAUAUUCUCCUGUUUCAUCAAGCAACCGACAGGGCAUGCACAAUCACGGAUAUAAACCGACAUGUCCGAAAUGUCUGAAACUCAGUUUUAAUUUCACAAUUCAACACAUCUCUUUUAAGAUUUUUUUUUCAAUAAUUUUCAGUUAUCAAUAAUUGAAAACUUUGAAGAUUUUUAAAGAUUUUUUUAAAGAUUUUUUAAGCACAAAGUAGGGAUCUUUUAAGAUUUUUUUUUUUCAAUAAUUGAGAGAGUUUAUGUGAUGUAAUAUGACACUAUUCAAUCAAGCAAGUACUCUGCUUUUUAGUGAUAGACACAAAUGAAAAAAACAUAAAGACUUAACUACAAAAUAAAAUAAAAUUUAUGAUAUAUAUAUGUGUGUGUGUGUACAUCAAGGCAUCAACAAAAUGCUGAUAGGACUUUGGGAAGGGAGCUCAUUCAUAAUAAGGCUUUAUCUUCAUCAUUUAAUGCUGCAUCAAUGCUUUCAAAGUGUCACACACUUUGUUGAACCCAUCAAUAUGAUCAUCAAGAGAUGAGCCUUCAAUCAUCUUUAAUGUAAACAUGCUCUUCUUUAUGUGUACAAUCUGUUAGCAAGGGAUGCUCUUCUUUAUGUGUACAAUCUGUUAGCAAGGGAUUUUUUCAUGUACAUACUCUCCAACUUAGCCCAUAAGUCAACAACCGUGGUUCUUUUGCCACUUCCCUUAUCACUGAGUCUGCAAGGCUCAAGAUUAUUGUCCCCCCAGCCCUUUUGUCUAUCUCAGCAACCUGCCCUGGGGUCUUUGACGAAGAUACCUCCUUUCCUGUUUUUUGGUUACUUGUUGAAUAGCAUACCCAAGACCCUGUGUUACCAGCAAUGCUUCCCUCUUAACCUUCCACAUAUUAAAGUCAUUCUUUCCAUUGAACUUCUCAAGAUCAAUCUUUGAUGGAGCCAUACUUGGAUCUUGAUCUGAAGAACUAGCUCUGAUACCAAUUGUACUGUCAAGAUAGCCGCUAAUGCUAAUCAAGCUAUCAAAACACUGCCUAAGACCCUGUACAAGAUCAAACUAGCUACAUAUGAACAAUUGAAUGACCUCGAUGAACUCAAUAGAUGACUUAAGAACUUAAAGCAAGAUUUCAGCCAAGAAAUAAGCAAGAUUAACAAACAAUCACACCCAGAAACCAGCACUGUUUACGUGGUUCGGCCGUGCAAUGAGGCAGAACAUGCAUCCAAGGGAGAAUCGACUAAAAUGAGUUUUAUUUAUGAAUCAAAGUAUUUGACAGAGCUCACAUGGAGAAACUAACAAGGAAUAACAUGAUACUUUUUCUCUCUCUUCAUUCUCUCUAGAAAGCUCUUUACAUCUUGCUGAAACUGUCUGAAAGCUCAGCUUAUAUAACGGGUGUUCAUUACCCCAGAUUGCACCAGAUCCACCCACGUGUAUAACAACUUAUAACUAACUUGAUUCUUCUCUCACGUGCUUGUCACAUGCAGAACUUAAGCCUUUAGCCAAAACACCUUCAUGCCUCGCCGUUUUGGUAUCAUUAAGUGAGUCAUAUGUCCAGCCGGGGACAACUUGAAACAUCUUAAUGGACAAAACAAUGCCGUUUUAACACGCCAAGUUUUGAAUUCAGCAAAUAGGUCCACACAAACAAUGAUAAAAAAUGGUGCUGCCAUAAAAAGAAAUGGCAUUGCAAGAAUGUAGAAUGCCACAUGUUACCUAAUCUGUUCUAAAUCAAGAUUAUUAUCAUCCGAAUUCUGAAUUUAAUUUGCAUAUAAGACAGUAUAAACCAUUAAAAGGAUAGCCAUUAGGUAGAAUUUCACAUGAAGAGCAAUCAAUCAACCAAGCUUCUAUUUGCCUGAAUUGCAUUUAAUAUUUGAAUGAACGUAUUCGAAAGUCGUUAGAUUCGCAUGCCAAAAAACAAUUUCACCACGAUCACCUCCUGUUGCCUUUGUUCAGAUUUGAUGUCGAUGGCUGCCGAUAUUUUCAGAACCAGUCAAGCGAAAAAUCACAAAACCAAAUAGAUGCAGUGGGCUCAGAUAGUAGCCGAACACCACUUCAUUAUUCAUUUACAAAUCUCAACUGUUAGAAUAACGUAAUUAAAAUCUAACGGCUGAGCAGCAUAACAACAAAAAAGAGGGGUAUAGAGCUGGAUCCUGGAGUGAAGAAUAAGAAAAAUUAACUAUUAUAUAUAUAUAUAUAUAUAAAAGAAGAAAACAUUUUGUGACAAUUUGAAUAUUCUUUUUGUUAAGUUAGAUUGUGCAUCAACGUAAAAUAAGGUUGCAAUUUAUAGGUAUCAAUAUGAAAGAAGUGGUCAAGCUAGUUUGUGCAUACAUAAUUAAACAAAUCAACUUAGACUGAAAUUCCGAAAUAUUUAUAACAACCCAAUUGGGCACUACUACUUCUGAGUUGGAACUGUUUUAACUUGUUCAAAAAAAUUUUUUAACUUCGACGGCUAGCAAAGGUUAAUACAAGAGAAAGUGUUUUACUUUGGGUGACCCCUGCUCCUGCAUUUGCUAAGCCAUUAACCAUAAUGAUGAAGAAUAUUAAUGAAGUAAGUUAAUGAAUUCAUAACAUAAUCACGCUACAUUUUCAUUGAAAUUAAUAUGUCUUACAAAUUUAUUUUUCAUAAGCUGGUGCUAGUGAUUCUUUUUCAAAUGAUGACGUGUGUGCUUCGCUAAUUAAUUAAUAAAGUGAAACAAAAACAAGUAGAACCCCGCACCAAUAAUUUUGCAAGCAACCCAACUCGACCAUCCCCUUUUAUUCUGAUUCCAUAUUCUUGCAAUGCCAUUCCUUAUGUUUUCUCUUUGAAUGCGUCCUAAAAAGACUUGCAAUGUAGAUCAUGUAUUUAUUAUGAGAUUUAUUGGAGUGAAUUAUUGUUUUUGUCAUUAUCAAAUAAUAUAUUUGAGAGCUGUUCAUUUUUGUAUAUGUAAAACUGAAAUUAUUAUAAUUGUGUAGAAGAGUUUGAGGGUCACUGGGAGGAUUUGCUCAUUAAUGGUCAGUGAAGUAAACCGACCAGGCGAAUUUAUCAAAAGCACUUUAUUACAAGAGAGAACAAGAAUGCCAAGAAAAUAUCAGAGACAAAAAGGAAACUAAGCAAACCAGAGCGCCAUGAUCAAGAAUGCUGCUGCCGUAACUAGAAAUCUCUUCUUAAACAAGAUUAUCAUCAUCCGAAAUUAUAAAUUUUGCAUACAAGACAUUAUAAAUCAACAAUUCAAAGAAAAAAAAGAAGAAUUUAAACCAAUUAAGAGGAUAGGCAUUAGGUAGAAUUUCAGAUGAAGAAAAACGAAUCAACCAGGGUUCUAUCUGCCUGAGUUGCCGGAAGCAUUCGGCCGCUUCUGCAUGAACUACAGAUCCCAUUGAAUUUUGGUUGCGUCUAUUCUGGCAAAAGUACUUAAUAUCUUAUUUUGGUUUGGACUAAAAGCAAACCUGCAGCUGAAUCUGAUUGAUUAAAAAUCUAAAACCGUACCAAAAGAAAGAAGAAAAUGACAACCAGCUCUAGCUAAUUCAGGGGAUGCAUGCAUAUUAAUAUUUCUCAUCAAAUCAUCACCCGUUGUGCUCUGAGACUGAGAAAAUCUAAGGUGACUGAUUUAUGUUGACUUCUCAAAACAGGGCUACCUUACAUCAUUUACUGAUUAAUGAUGCUGAUGUUUAAUAGGAUGAAUCAGGUGUUUGCUGAAAUGUCUCAAGAAAGGACCCUCGAGCACAUGAGAAUGAGAAGAACAUUCAAUAAUCUCCAGGAUAAUAUAAGAUCAAGGACGCAACAAGGACAAACAGAGAUGGCAGCUGUAGCGUUUUGACAGUACACAUGUCAUAGCCGUUAGAUUAAACAAAUGUAAACCAUCGGAUACAAGUUUUGUAAAUAUAGAUUCAAAAUGAAUGAAACAUUGUUGUGAUGUGUGUGCAUUAUUCUCUCAUUUUGAUCAUGUGCUAACUAAGAUUUUUUUUUUUUCAAUAAUUUUCAGUUUUCUGUCAAAUGUAACAUAAUAUGAUCAUGUGUAACAUAAGAACACAAAGCAUGAAGGAAGCUCUAAUCUUUUUCGAACUUGGCCAAAGUUGUUGAAUAUCUAAAUCCUCAAGUGUUCUGUGUUUUUUUUAUUAAAUUAGCAUGAUUGGACACAAUAAAAUAAUGAAAAUCAAAUUAUUAUGAUGGUUGGAUUAGUUAGCUAGAUUAGUGUUAUUUUGUCUAAUUAUCAUGGAUUAAAUUCAAUCAUAUAUAAUAUAUAAUAGGUCCUUCGUAUUUUCCCUUCUAAUCUACAUCAUAAAAAGACUUGUAAUAUAUAUCAUGUAUUUAUUAUGUUGUUUAUUGGAGUGAAUUGUUGUUGUUUUCGCGAUUGUCAAAUAUUUUCUCUUUUAAUUAAUAAAAAAUAACUGAUAGUUGUAUUAAUUAAUUAGUAUAAGCUAGCUAGCUGACUGUUCAAUGUUAUUGCACUUUUGAGCUACAUAUGGCAUGGUAUGCUCGGGCAACGAAAUUGAGUUUUGAGUUUCUAUGAUAUGAUACUAUUCAAAUCAAGCAACUCUACUCUUUAGUGAUAGACACAAAUGAAACUAGUGCACAUGCGGUAGCUAGAUGAUAAUUAAAAGACCAAGAUUAUAUUCCCAUCAUAAUCAAACUAACAACACGACGUGAUCCAGUGUCAAUUAAUUUUCAGUUUCUUGUAUUAAUUUCUUUUUCAAUAUAUAUAAUGGCAAUCUCGUGAACUAAUGCUAAUUUCAUUAUAUUAGGCACCUUUGUGAUAUGUUAUUAAACCAUAGAAAUGUGGGUUAGAUUGAGGGAGAUUUUGAAUGAUUUAUCUAAUUACAAAUUGUUCGGAUUACAUAUGUUUCAGUCAAAAACAGGGGAGCUCCUUGAAUUGGAAGCUCUUUAGGCACAAUAUCACGAAAUUUUGAUAUUAGCCCUUAAAAGAGCUUAGGCAGGGUCAAAGAAGUAACAGAAACUGAGGUUAUGCCCAAUAUGUCUAGCCGCUACUCUAAAAAAUUCAGGUUAUUUUGCCUAAAGGGUUUCCUACAUCAUAUAAAUUACGCUGGUUCUUCAUAAUUAUUAACACAUUAAUAUGACUAAUUAGAAAGUAAUAAAGAGAUGGAUUUCUUUUAUUUUAAAACAAACGGAAUUGAUUGCAGAAUAUUAUUAAAAGGUUGGACUACUUGUAGUCUAAACUUUACCAUGAAUGCCCUUUUAUUAUGUGCACUAGCUAAUAGAUUUUAAGAAAUCACUUUUUACUCUGAAAUAUUUUUCUUGCGAUUAGAGAUCUUGGGUUGUCCCUUGAUAGAAGAAAGGCACACAAAGAAUGGAGGACAAUGUCGGCACUUGCUAACCCAUAUACCUUGCGUAGUAAUAAAUGGCAGAGCAGUGGAUAUGGAUUUGAAACAGAAGAGGGAUGAGUACCGAACUGUAUAAAUUAAUUAAUUAUUCCUACUGCAUGGGUUUGUAAAUUUCUUUUAAAACAGAGGAGCUAGGACUGUAUUAACUAAUUUCUAAUUGGGAUAGGUGUAAUAUGUAAUGGCCUCUAUGUAUUUCUUGAUGUUAUUAUUAUUGAUGUUGUAUCUUCAUAUUGUCUUGAUGGCUUGACGGCCUUUGGGCACCUGAGUUGCUUACUUCGAACGGCAGAGUUAAGUUUCAGUCUUCGAAUUGCCGCGUAUGGUUCAAUAGCCAAGCCAGUCUUCAAUUAUUUGUUGAUCUAGUGAUCUGCUUAUGAACAACUAAAAAUCAUUUUGAUUCUUUGACUAAUAAGAAUUGUCAUUCUGAACUAAGGGCCAUUGAGCUUAGGAUUAUUGCUAAAACAUGAGUUCUGUGCUAUAUCAUGCAUUUUCUAUACUAUUAAUUGUUUGAGCUUAUAAACUAAAGACAUCAAAACAUAGAUUCUGUUCUAGUUACUGUUUUUCACUUCAGAUUUGUGACUGAUUUUCACCUUUAUUUUUUAGGCCCCAUGACAUCCCAAUACACGUAUAUGACCAAGCUACCUGGCGGCCAAUAGUACAUAAAAUAGACCUAAAAAUAGAUGGCCAUCUGAUUCCCCAUGAAUUACCCCAUCAAUUCUGCGUUUUAGUUUCAAGUUGGAAAAUAGUGAAACCAGAGGCUCAGGUGAUUUAAUUUUGUAUAUACAGUUAAUCAACUAAAAAUGGAACCUGCAUGACAGUUAGACACAGUUUAACUGGCUAUGAGCAAGAAAUACAAAGUUUGAAUAAUAACAAAAUUCGAAGUUGGUAUUUAGUUGGUAAGAUUUCUCAUCCCUUUUUAUUUUUUUAAAGAAAAAAAAUCAAUCUUACAGACAAGAAUACAAAUUGUAAGCCCAUUGAAAAGAUCCUAGAGUAAGCGGAAAUUUUGUAAUCAGCUUGGAGCAGUUUGCAAAGUAACUUCAACAUCUAAAAGGAAAAAUAAUAAAAAAAGAAAGCACAACACGUGCCAUCAAUGAAAUUAACUUUUAUUCUUUGUUAAAGUGGAAUUUAUUUGGUAAUUAGACACGUGCUUAUAUAAAGUAGCUAACAUUCUUUAGUGGUAAUAGCAGACUGUGCUUCUUUUUUAGGGGAAAAAAAAUCGCAACAUUUGUUUCUGGAAAAAAUAAAACUUAUAUGUAUAAUAUAAAUUAUCUGCCUGUUUUCCUCUGUUUAUUUGCUCUGCCAACUUGCAGGGUCUUCACUAUUUGUCUAUUUUCCCAGCCUUUUUAAAAUCUCAAACUUUUCAAAUAUUCUAGCCAUUACUUUGUAAAAAACUAGAAGUUUAUGUUUCCUUCACUUGCACUGCUUUCAACUACUUGAACCUCCACAAACUAGACCAAACUAAACUUUUUGCUUUACCAAAACUCUUUUAAAAAAAUUCCUAUAUAUCUAUAAGACUCUCUUACUAUAUAAAUGAAUAAUUAUGUAAUUCAAAACUAAACUCUUAUUAUGUAUUUGUGACUUUUAUAAAAUAUACUUUUAUUGUUGUUCUUGUAAUUGAUUUUGACGUAUUUCAUUUCUAAUUUUUUUUUUGGUAUACAAAAAUCAUAUCUCUUUUCGACAUUCUCUAGUCUUUGGUCAAAAUUAAUUGAACUUCUAAGUAACAUGUAGUUACAAAAUGGUGUGAAACGAUAAAAUAAACCCGAAGCAUUGCAUAUAUAUCUAUUAAUUUUAAUUGUCAAUUUAUUCGCUUGCAACUAAUAUUAAAUUUUUAUAGCAUCAUUUUUUUGCCAAUAUUUUUCAGUAAAUACGUAUUUCAUUAUUACAUGAUCAAUAUUUGUUGUCCAUCUUUACUCAUCAAAUGCCACAUUGACGUCAUUCCCCAUUACUCUUUCUUUAUAUUUUAAACUAACUCAAAUCAAUUAUAUAUAUCUAGUACAUGAAAUUACAUAAAAUUAUGAACUCAAUGUUUCUAAUCCCAGAUCAUGAAAAUUGAUAGAUGAUCAAAUGUUGAUGUAAUGCUGCACGGCGAUAGUAACAUCCACGCCAGUCGGAUUAAUUAAUGAAGUCACGUAGGCAUAUUUUCGCUGUUGCUGUGGCCAUUGCACAAAGAAUUAAAUUGAUCAGUUAUUUCCUCUGUUCUGUUUAUUUGAUCUGCUUAACUUGGAGUGGCUUUAUUAUUUGUCUAUUUUCCCAAUAUUUCAUAAACCUCAAACUUGUUCAUUGAUCCUUGCUCCAAGCCAUGUCCAGUUAGUCAGACACAUGCCACGUGGAGUUGAUCGGACGUCAAUCCUGCUAAUUCAAGAUCUGAAGAAUUGUAAUUCGUUGAAAAUUGCAACGUAAGCAAUUUACUUAAUGAUGUGCCACAAAUGUGGGACUCUAAUAAUGUUUGGGAGAUGUAGAAGAGCUUGGGUAACAAUGUAGGAAGGAAGCUCUACUCUUCAGUGAUAGAAUAAUGUUUCGUGAUUGUCAAAUAUUUUAUCUUUUAAUUAAUCAUAAAGAACUAAUAGUGGUAUUAAUUAAUUAAUAUAAGCUAGCUAGCUGAAUGCUCAAUGUUAUUGCACUUUUGAGCUACAUACGGCGUGGUAUGCUUGCGCAAUGAAAUUGAGUUUUGAGUUUUUGUGAUAUGAUACUAUUCAGUCAUGUAACUCUACUCUUCAGUGAUAGACACAAAUUAAUAGACCAAGUAUAUAUUCCCAUCAUAAUUAACAACUAACAAUCUUACGUGAUCCAAUGUCAAUUAAUUUUCAGUUUCUUGUAUUAAUUUCUUUUUCAAUAUAUAUAAUGGCAACUUCAUGAGCUGAACAUUAAUUUCGCUGUAUUGGGCACCUUUAUGAUAUUCUAUUAACCCAUAGAAGUGGAGGUUCGAUUAAAGGAGAUUUUAAAUGAUUUAUUUAAUUAUAAAUUGUUCGGAUUAUGUAUGUUUCAGUAAAAAAACAGGGGAGUUCCUUGAAUUGGUUUGACUUCCCAUUUUGUAUUAUAGUAAAAAACAGAGGCUGUUCUGCCUUUCUAAUUAAUGUUAGUUUCAAUUUCAGAAUGUGAUGCACUGAAAUCCAGUUCAAUCUCUCAAGGACUUUGUCCUGAUGGAUUGUUUGAAAUUAUUCAGGUUAUUUAAGUCAAACUCAAAACAGAGGAAUUCCAUGCGUAUGUGUCAUCACCAUUAAUAUUUAUAUUUCUUAACAGAAUUUAUCAGUUAUUGGAUAUUUGGACUCCUCAACUUUAAAAAAACUGCUAUAACAAUGUAGGAAGCUUUGUUUUGCAUAUUUGGCACAAUAUCACGAAAUUUUGAGAUUCUGAUGAUUUUGCCUAAAGUGCUUCCUACAUCAUAUAAAUUACACCGGUUCUUCAUAAUUAUUAACACAUUAAUAUGAAUAAUUAGAAAGUAAUAAAGAGAUGGUUUUUUUUUUUGAAGUAAACAUAAUUGAUUGAAGAAUAUUAUUAAAUGGAUGGGACUAUUCGUAGUAGGGGUAGGCAUAAACCCACAACCCAUGGGUUUACCCAAACUCAAACCAAAUAAAAUGGUUUGGGUUGGGUAAAUUAAAAAAAUGGGUUGAAUUUGGGUUUUUAUGUAUGAAACCAUUUUAUAAUGGUUUGGGUGUGGUUAACCCAUGGGUUAAGAAAAAAUUUCCAAAACUAAACAAACCGCUGAAAACAAAAUAAACAAACCGCUGAAUCUCUCUCCAUCUUCUACAAUCCCUAUCGACAAAAGUGACGUGGUGGAUCUCUCAUUGUCAUCGACUCCUAAAGUCCCCACUUCGAUUGCUAUCGUCCUAAUGAUUUAAGGUGAGGCUCUGCUUCAAUUUUUUUUGCUUUUGUUAUUGUUGUGGUGGCUCUUAUUUUUAGAUAAUAGUGAAAUUUUGACUCUUGUUUCAGCUUCAUCCUGACACUUAUUCCAUCCAAUAUUAGCUAGCAAUAGCAAUAAGAGCUGGGCUCCUAUCAUUUUACAAUAAUAAAUUAUUCAGUAGAAGAGAGAUGAACAUUGGAUUAGCCACAGAUAGCUAGCCUCCCCUGCUACAUUACAAAUAACAUAAAAUAUUCUAUAAUAAGAUGUUUAAUAAAUUAAGUAUAUAUGAUAGUGGGUAAAUCCAAAAGUUUUUGAAUUUUGAGGGAGCUUGUAGAUGACCCAAAAAAAAAAGUUUAAUUGAAUUUGAAAUCAGGCUCUGCUUCAAUUUUUUUUUUCUUUUGUUGUUGUGGUGGUGGCCCUGUAAUGCUUCGAUUCUAUUCUGAUGGUCCUAAAUCAAGAUAUUUUUUUAUGAAUUUUUUUUCCUAUCGUUUGUAGAUGAUUGUUGGUUAUAACUAAGAAUAUAUUUGAAUCCAAAGCUGGAAUGAAAGUUGGAUACUUAAUAGUUUCUCUGGCAUAUUUUCGUCUAGUAGAAUAUUUGCAGAUUGUUGUUCCUGCUGGAUUGAAACUUGAUGCUCUUACUGGCACUAUUGUUGUUGUUCCUUAUAUUUGGUAAAAGUUUUUGUUGAAUUGGCUUAAAGUUGUUUAUUUUUUUUUUCAUUUAAUUUUAGAUGGAUGAGAACUCAAGUUGUCAUGGUACUAGUUCCUUGGACACGCUUGCAACUACUCAAAGCAAGAGGAAAAAGCCAUCAGAGAGAUCAGAAAUAUGGGAUCAUUUCACUAAAUACGAUCUAGGUAAUAGAUGCAAGUGUAAUUAUUGUGGUAAUGAUUAUGCUUGUAAGAAUAAACAUGGGACUAAAAUUGGGACUAGUACAUUAAGGAAUCAUUUGUUACGUUGUCCUGAUUAUUUGAGCAUAUUUGAGGAUGAAAAUCAAACAACUUCACAUGAAAUGAAAGAUGAAUCUAAGUCUCAUGUGUUUGACAAAGAAGCAUGUAGAAAAGCCCUUACACGGUUAAUUAUUAUUGAUGAAUUACCCUUUAGUUUUGUGGAGAAAGAGGGCUUUCAACAAUAUAGUAAGCAAUUGGGGCCAAACUUUGAUCUACCGUCUAGGAGAACCCUUGCUAGAGAUGUAUACAAACGUUUUUGGGAAGAAAAGCAAAAAUUAAGGAACUUUUUUGUUUCAAAUAAGCAAAGAGUUUGUAUAACCACAAAUGCAUGGACGUCUAUACAAAAUUAUUACUAUAUGGUGAUAACAGCCCAUUUCAUUGAUAGUGAAUGGAAAUUGCAGAAAAGAAUUUUAAAUUUUUGCACAUUACCUGACCAUAAGGGGGAGACAAUUGGAAAGGUAAUUGAAUCUUGUUUGCUUGAGUGGGGUAUAGAAAGGGUAUUUACCAUUACUGUUGAUAAUGCUAGUUCAAAUGAGUUAGCUAUCAAUUAUGUCAAAAAGAAAUUGAAGAAUUGGAGUGAGAAUGGGCUUGUGCUAGAUGGUGAUUUUUUACAUAUGAGAUGUUGUGCGCAUAUUUUGAAUUUAAUUGUGAAUGAAGGAUUGAAAGACUUACAUGUGUCAAUUUCUAGAAUUCGUAAUGCUGUCAAGUAUGUAAAGUCAUCUCCUGCAAGGCUAAAAAAAUUUAAAAUAUGUGUGGAGCAUGAAAGAAUUGAAGGUGCUGGUCUUGUGGUUCAAGAUGUGUCCACUAGGUGGAAUUCCACCUACUUAAUGUUGGAGAGUGCUUUAAAAUUUCAAAAGGCUUUUGAGAGAAUGGAGGAUGAUGAUCAACAUUAUGUUUCAUAUUUCAAAGAAGAUGGAGGACCCCCUAAUAGUGAUGAUUGGGAAAAUGCUAAUGUUUUUGUGUUGUUUUUGAAGUCAUUUUAUGAUAUAAUUUUGAAAUUUAGUGGUUCAAUGUACGUGACUUCAAACUUAUAUUUUCAUGAAAUGUGCUCAAUUCAUUCCGAUUUGACAUCAUUAAUUGAAAGUAGUGAUGAUCUUGUUUUAUCUAAAAUGGCAACAAGUAUGAAAAAUAAAUAUGACAAAUAUUGGGGUUCAAUUGAUAGGUUAAAUAAUUUGUUGCUUAUUUCGGUUAUUCUUGAUCCACGUUAUAAGUUAAAAUAUGUGAGAUUUUGCUUUGAAGACAUUUUUGUUAUUGAUGAGGUUGGGAAGAAGUCUGAAGAGGUGAAAAAUCUUUUAAUACGUCUUUAUGAAUACUAUAAAGAUCUUGACACUAAGAUUGGUGGUUGUGGAUCAUCUAGUGAUGUUGGUAAGUCGUCAAUUGUUGAUAGUAGGAAAUUUGAUAAAAAGGUGGGGUUUUCUAAACUUUCAAGUGUUGCAAAGUUCAAACAAAGAAUAGGAAAAUAUGAUUGUGUUGAGAUGAAAAAUGAAGUAGAGAGGUACUUGUUGGAGCCAUGUGAACAUGUUGAUGACGAUGACUUUGAGAUUUUGGCAUGGUGGAAAAUGAACUCAAUAAAAUAUCGAGUUCUUUCACAUAUUGCAAAGGAUGUGUUUGCAAUUCCAAUAUCUACAGUAGCUUCAGAAUCUGCAUUUAGUACUGGAGGACGCAUCAUUGAUUCAUUUCGUAGUUCUUUAAGUCCAAAGAUGGUGGAAGCUUUGAUAUGCUCACAAAAUUGGUUACUUCACACUUUUGUCCCAUUACAAGAUGAACCAACGAUGGAGGAGCUUGAGUUUUAUGAAGCCAUGAUGUCAGGUAACUACUGUUUAUCAUAACAAGCGAAAAAAAUUAUAUAUUUGUUUAUCACUAGUCUUUUUUUAUUAAUUUAUUUUUAUUUAAUGUAGAGUUUGGAUCAAGUGCAACAACGGAGGCAAUGACUUUAGAUUGAUGUUAUUCUUACAAUUUUGGUAUGAAUCAUGUUCCUUUUUUAAAUUUACUCAUCUUUAUAACUAUUCAACAUUAUAAAUUAUUUAUUUAUCUUAUUUAAGGAUGAAGAUGCUAGUGAGUGCCAUUUGCUUGAGGAAAGAUGAAGAUGGUCCCAAAAGUAUCAAAAGUAUCACACGGUUGGGUGUCCUCAUUUGAAUGAUUUAACAUUAAUAGGUGGCAUUUUUAAGGAGCUACCCUCCACAAAUUUUACUCAGCAUUUAUUUCACUUAUUAUUGUUAAUUUUUAAUAUCAUUUAUUUCAUUUAUUUUAAUAUCAAUUUAAUAAUUAAUAACAAUUAAUAAUUAUUAUAAUUUUGAUAUAAUUAAAUUUUAUUAAAAUAAAAAUUAUUUUGAUAAUAAAAUUCAAACCAAACCCAAAUGGUUUGGUUUGUAAAUAUGAAAAUACUCCUCAACAACAUUCCUUAUAUUAUCUUUAUUUUUCUUGGUACCCCCAUAAAAAUGUUGAUCACACCAAGAUUAAUUACCUUUGCUCUCCUUAUUUCUCAUAGCCAAGCAAGUCUUCAAAUCAAAGCAUUUGCUUGUGAUGCCAUGACCAAGAAUGCCGCUGCCAUAACAAGAAAUGGCAUUGCAGGAAUGUAGAAUGCCACAUGUUACCUAAUCCGCUCUAAAUCAAGAUUAGGAUUAGGAAUCAUGCUUCCUCUUCCGGCCGCUCUAUCAUAUCUGGUGAUUGUUGAUUUACCAAAUCUGGAACCCCUGUCAAAACCUCACUAAAUUGAAAGGUACAAAAAGGAUGGAAGACAAUAUCGGCAUAUGCAUUGUCAUAAUGAAUAGUAGACCAGUGGAUUUGGAUUUGAAACAGAGGAACGAGUACAGAACUGUAUAAAUUAAUUAGUUAUUCCUACUGCAUGGGUUUGUAACUUUCUAGGACUGUCUUUAUUAAUUUCUUAUUGGGGUGGCUGUAGCAUGCAAUGGCCUCCGUGUAUUUCUUGGUGUUAUUAUUAUUGAUGUUGUAGCUUAGUAUUGUCUUGAUGUGGCUUUGAAGUAUACUUGAUGGAGUCUUGAUGGCUUGGCAGACUUUGGGCAGCUGCGUUGCUUACUUCGAAUGGCAGAGCCAAGUUGUAGUCUUCGAAUUGGCAUCAUCGUAUAGUUCAAUAGCCAAGCUGCAGGUCUUCAAUUAUUUGUUGAUCUAGUGUUCUACUUAUAAACAACUAAAAAUCAUUUUGAAUCUUUGGCUAAUAAGAAUUGUCAUUCUGAACUAAGGGCCAAUGAGCUGAGGAUUGUUGCUAAAAUAUGAGUUCUGUGUUCUAUCAUGCAUUUUCUGUACUCUUAAUUGUUUGAGCCUAUAAAUUAAGACAUGCUUGGCAUGGACAUCUCAAAAGCUCAGGAUUACUAGCAUGAAGUACUGCAAACUUGAGAAACUCAUUUACCGCGUUCUCAUAUUCUAUAGACCUUCUAUCCAUCAACAUCCAAGAUUUAUCCAUAUUUAAACUAUUAAUUUUCCUGCGAAUGCAUCGCAUUUUAUUCAUUCAGUUUUAUUAAUAUUAGAAAUUGAUAUUGUUUACAACCACAAGAACAACUAAUAAAAUUAUAGAAUCAACCAAAAAAAGGGGGCAAUGAGAGCACAAUUUCACUAAUUAAGCAACUAUAGUGUCUCCAACAUAGUUUCUGCUGCUAUAUCUUUGUGAUUGUCCAGAAUCUAACAGAUGUUAUAAAUAAAUAUCAAAUGAAGCUUUCGGCAUUGAUUCCAUCAACUAUUUUUAUUGAUUCAAUAGAUAUAAGUUCCAAGUCUGAUGAGUGGUGGAUUCAUUAAUUGAGCAACUAAAGUCCUAAACUUGUGCCCAGCCCAUUGAACUGUUGCAGCAUAAAUUAAAAUUACUUCUAAUCUGCAAUCAAUUUGAAAACUGUUGCAGUUCUGUAAUUUUCCCUGGUUAAAAUGUAUAAACAGACCAAAAUGAAGCAAAAUGCAUUACGGUAAUACUAUUACGAGAGGCAUCUCAGUAAGAUGUUUGCUAAAAACAAAAAUAAUCUUUUAAAGAGACAUUUAAUCAAACAAUUAAUGCGCAUUCAAAUAGCAGAACACUCUAAAAUCAUUUCAACAGGAUGUAAACUUCAAAUCCCUAUUAUUAUUAUUACCUGAAAUCAACGUUGUUCUUGGCGGAAUUAAGAGAAAGCACUGUUCUCAAUAUAAUCAAUGAGAGGAGCAACGCUAUAAUCUGCUUGAAGAUAAGAAUGAAAAUAAUGUCUUAAGUUAAAUAAACAAAAAUUGAACAGAAGUGUACUAACCAAAGAUAAAAUAAAUUGAUUGAUUCUUUCAAAAUUGAGAAUGAAAAUGAAAAUUAUUUGUGCGUUCCUUGUUUGUUGAACAGGAAAUUGAGACUUGGAAUCAAUUAAAUCAAUCUAGGUUGAUUAAAAAUACAAUUAAUUUAACUAUAACCCUAAAUUAUCAAACUAGAAAGAGAGAAGAAAAAAAAAUCAAAAUUAAAGGAAACAAUACCUGAAAUUCGAGAAGCAGCUAAAGCAAGCUAAAAUUCUUCGUGCGUUCUUCUUCGAAAGAGAAUGGAUAUGAAAGUCGAAAUUGAGUGAUUGAUGAAAAAACUGAGAGGUGAUUAUUGAAAAGGAAGUAAUGGGAAUGAGUUUGAAUUUUCUCAAAAGAAACUAAUCUGUUCUAAGAACGAAAACAAAAGCGGUAAUAGUGAGUUUUUAAAUUUUUUUCUUAAGUCAAUAGAAGGAAAAUAUAAAUGAUAAUUAUGCCAUAAAUAUGUAAUAUAUUAUAUAUUUGUCACUUAUUUGAUAAAACGUCACAAUUAUAUGACAUUUAAAUAAAUUGUCAUUUAUAUUUCACAAUUACUUAAUUUUUCACAAAAUGUCAUGUAUAUUUGAUAUUUCUUAAAAAUUGUAAAAUAAAAAAUGUCAAGUAUUCUUCCUAAUUGGCACAUUUUACUUAAUGAUGUGUCACAAAUGUGGGACUCUAAUAAUGUUUGGGAGAUAUAAAAAUAAAAAAUAAAAAAAUCAAAUAUUCUUCAUUUUAUUGCCAAAUAUUUUUCAGUAAAUACAGACUUCAUUCUUACAUGAUCAGUAUUUGUUGUCUAUCAUUAUUCAUCAGAUGCCACAUCGACAUCAUUCCCCAUUACUCUUUCUUUAGAUGUUAAACUAACUCAAAUCAAUUAUAUAUAUCUAGUACAUGAAAUUACACGAACUUACGAACUCAAUGUUUCUAAUCUCAUAUCAUGAAAAUUGAUAGAUGAUCAAAUGUUGAUGUAAUGCUGCAUGGUGAUAGUAGGAUUAAUUAAUGUGGUCAUGCAGACAUAUUUUCGCUGUUGCUGUGGCCACUGCACAAAGAAUUAUUAUUUCCUCUAUUUAUUCGAUCUGCUUAACUUGGAGUGGCUUUAUUAUUUGUCUGUUUUCCCAAUAUUUCAUAAACCUCAAGCUUGUCCAUUGAUCCUUGCCCCAAGCCAUGUCCUGUUAGUCAGACGCAUGCAUGCAUGUGCGAAUCUUGCUCAUUUCUUCCAUCGACUGAAAUUACUUUUUUUUUUCUUUUUAAUCUUUGUUCUAUAUCUUCUUUGAAAACGUUAUCGAAAUCGCCCUCAGCCAAUUAUCAAAUCAAAUGAAUAGGCUCACUUUACUUGUAUUAAUUUCUUUAUAAUUUCUCAAAAAUUAAUCCUUUGAUUUAGCCGCGGGGAGUUGGUCGGACGUGAAUCCUGCUAAUUCAUGAUAUGAAGAUUUGGAAGUCAUUGAAAAUUGCAACGUAUGCAAGUCCUGACAGAAAAUAUAUAAAUUUCCCGCAGGUGUUGACGGUGUAAUUAACUGGCAGCAUACGCAAGUGCUAACAAAAAAUUGAAUUGUUUUAUUCAUGAAAAAACAAAUCGCAUUUCAUUUCUUCCAAAUUUUAAGAUUGGGAUUUCACUCUUAUUCCUGAUUUAUCUCCACCGAAAAUCUUGCACUAUAAAAACGAAAAAAUAAAACAAGAUAAACUCCAAAAAAUUGAUACAACAAAGCCCAAAUUAAAGACUACAGUUUAUGACAUGAGUUUAAGCCCCAAAAAAAAUUACAUUUAAAAAAUUGAGUUUAUUAAAGAAUUGAGUUCUCAAGGAUAGUAUUUAAUUCAUUCUCCUCUGUUUAUUUGCUCUGCUUAACUUGUGUCUUCAUUAUUUGUCUAUUUUCAUUAUCUUUUUUCUUUAAAAAGAAAAACCUCAAACGUGUCUAUUAUCCUUUAUGCGUGCUUUGUAAAAUCCGGAGUUUGGUGAUGCAGGACAAAUUAUUUAGGGUUAAUUAUUUUACAGAGCUCACACGGAGAAACUAACAAGGAAUAAAAUGAUACUUUUUCUAUCUCUUCAUUCUCACUAGAAGCUCUUUACAUCUUGCUGAAACUGCCUGAAAGCUCAGCUUAUAUAACGGGUGUUCAUUACCCCAGAUUGCACCAGAUCCACCCACGUGUAUAACAACUUAUAACUAACUUGAUUCUUCUCUCACGUGCUUGUCACAUGCAGAACUUAAGCCUUUAGCCAAAACACCUUCAUAUCAUGCCUCGCCGUUUUGUUAUCAUUAAGUGAGUCAUAUGUCCAGCCCGGGACAAGUUGAAACAUCUUAAUGGACAAAACGAUGCCGUUUUAAAAAUGGCGCUGCCAUAAAAAGAAAUGGCAUUGCAAGAAUGUAGAAUGCCACAUGUUACCUAAUCUGUUCUAAAUGAAGAUUAUUAUCAUCCGAAUUCCGAAUUUAAUUUGCAUAUAAGACAAUAUAAACCAUUAAAAGGAUAGCCAUUAGGUAGAAUUUCACAUGAAGAGCAAUCAAUCAACCAAGCUUCUAUUUGCCUGAAUUGCAUUUAAUAUUUGAAUGAACGUAUUCGAAAGUCAUUAGAUUCGCAUGCCAAAAAACAUUUUCACCACGAUCACCUCAUGUUGCCUUUGUUCAGAUUUGCCGUCGAUGGCUGCCGAUAUUUUCAGAACUAGUCAAGCGAAAAAUCACAACACCAAAUAGAUGCAAUGGGCUCAGAUAGUAGCCGAACACCACUUCAUUAUUCAUUUACAAAUCUCAACCGUUAGAUUAACAUAAUUAAAAUCUAACGGCUGAGCAGCAUAACGACAAAAAAGAGGGGUAUGGAGCUGGAUCCUGGAGUGAAGAAUAAGAAAAAUUAACUACUAUAUAUAUAUAUAUUUUAAGAAGAAAACAUUCUGUGACAAUUUGAAUAUUGUUUUUGUUAGGUUAGAUUGUGCAUCAACGUAAAAUAAGGUUGCAAUUUAUAGGUAUCAAUAUGAAAGAAGUGGUCAAGCUAGUUUGUGCAUACAUAAUUAAACAAAUCAACUUAGACUGAAAUUCCGAAAUAUUUAUAACAACCCAAUUGGGCACUACUACUUCUGAGUUGGAACUGUUUUAACUUGUUCAAAAAAAUUUUUUAACUUCGACGGCUAGCAAAGGUUAAUACAAGAGAAAGUGUUUUACUUUGGGUGACCCCUGCUCCUGCAUUUGCUAAGCCAUUAACCAUAAUGAUGAAGAAUAUUAAUGAAGUAAGUUAAUGAAUUCAUAACAUAAUCACGCUACAUUUUCAUUGAAAUUAAUAUGUCUUACAAAUUUAUUUUUCAUAAGCUGGUGCUAGUGAUUCUUUUUCAAAUGAUGACGUGUGUGCUUCGCUAAUUAAUUAAUAAAGUGAAACAAAAACAAGUAGAACCCCGCACCAAUAAUUUUGCAAGCAACCCAACUCGACCAUCCCCUUUUAUUCUGAUUCCAUAUUCUUGCAAUGCCAUUCCUUAUGUUUUCUCUUUGAAUGCGUCCUAAAAAGACUUGCAAUGUAGAUCAUGUAUUUAUUAUGAGAUUUAUUGGAGUGAAUUAUUGUUUUUGUCAUUAUCAAAUAAUAUAUUUGAGAGCUGUUCAUUUUUGUAUAUGUAAAACUGAAAUUAUUAUAAUUGUGUAGAAGAGUUUGAGGGUCACUGGGAGGAUUUGCUCAUUAAUGGUCAGUGAAGUAAACCGACCAGGCGAAUUUAUCAAAAGCACUUUAUUACAAGAGAGAACAAGAAUGCCAAGAAAAUAUCAGAGACAAAAAGGAAACUAAGCAAACCAGAGCGCCAUGAUCAAGAAUGCUGCUGCCGUAACUAGAAAUCUCUUCUUAAACAAGAUUAUCAUCAUCCGAAAUUAUAAAUUUUGCAUACAAGACAUUAUAAAUCAACAAUUCAAAGAAAAAAAAGAAGAAUUUAAACCAAUUAAGAGGAUAGGCAUUAGGUAGAAUUUCAGAUGAAGAAAAACGAAUCAACCAGGGUUCUAUCUGCCUGAGUUGCCGGAAGCAUUCGGCCGCUUCUGCAUGAACUACAGAUCCCAUUGAAUUUUGGUUGCGUCUAUUCUGGCAAAAGUACUUAAUAUCUUAUUUUGGUUUGGACUAAAAGCAAACCUGCAGCUGAAUCUGAUUGAUUAAAAAUCUAAAACCAAAUGAAACUAGUGCACAUGCGGUAGCUAGAUGAUAAUUAAAAGACCAAGAUUAUAUUCCCAUCAUAAUCAAACUAACAACACGACGUGAUCCAGUGUCAAUUAAUUUUCAGUUUCUUGUAUUAAUUUCUUUUUCAAUAUAUAUAAUGGCAAUCUCGUGAACUAAUGCUAAUUUCAUUAUAUUAGGCACCUUUGUGAUAUGUUAUUAAACCAUAGAAAUGUGGGUUAGAUUGAGGGAGAUUUUGAAUGAUUUAUCUAAUUAUAAAUUUUUCGGAUUACAUAUGUCUCAGUCAAAAACAGGGGAGCUCCUUGAAUUGGAAGCUCUUUAGGCACAAUAUCACGAAAUUUUGAUGUUAGCCCUUAAAAGAGCUUAGGCAGGGUCAGAGAAGUAACAGAAACUGAGGUUAUGCCCAAUAUGUCUAGCCGCUACUCUAAAAAACUCAGGUUAUUUUGCCUAAAGGGUUUCCUACAUCAUAUAAAUUACGCUAGUUCUUCAUCAUUAUUAACACAUUAAUAUGACUAAUUAGAAAGUAAUAAAGAGAUGGAUUUCUUUUAUUUUAAAACAAACGGAAUUGAUUGCAGAAUAUUAUUAAAAAGGUUGCACUAGAGAAUAGAUUUUAAGAAAUCACUUUUUACUCUGAAAUAUUUUUCUUGCGAUUAGAGAUCUUGGGUUGUCCCUUGAUAGAAGAAAGGCACACAAAGAAUGGAGGACAAUGUCGGCACUUGCUAACCCAUAUACCUUGCGUAGUAAUAAAUGGCAGAGCAGUGGAUAUGGAUUUGAAACAGAAGAGGGAUGAGUACCGAACUGUAUAAAUUAAUUAAUUAUUCCUACUGCAUGGGUUUGUAAAUUUCUUUUAAAACAGAGGAGCUAGGACUGUAUUAACUAAUUUCUAAUUGGGAUAGGUGUAAUAUGUAAUGGCCUCUAUGUAUUUCUUGAUGUUAUUAUUAUUGAUGUUGUAUCUUCAUAUUGUCUUGAUGGCUUGACGGCCUUUGGGCACCUGAGUUGCUUACUUCGAACGGCAGAGUUAAGUUUCAGUCUUCGAAUUGCCGCGUAUGGUUCAAUAGCCAAGCCAGUCUUCAAUUAUUUGUUGAUCUAGUGAUCUGCUUAUGAACAACUAAAAAUCAUUUUGAUUCUUUGACUAAUAAGAAUUGUCAUUCUGAACUAAGGGCCAGUGAGCUUAGGAUUAUUGCUAAAACAUGAGUUCUGUGCUAUAUCAUGCAUUUUCUAUACUAUUAAUUGUUUGAGCCUAUAAACUAAAGACAUCAAAACAUAGAUUCUGUUCUAGUUACUGUUUUUCACUUCAGAUUUGUGACUGAUUUUCACCUUUAUUUUUUAGGCCCCAUGACAUCCCAAUACACGUAUAUGACCAAGCUACCUGGCGGCCAAUAGUACAUAAAAUAGACCUAAAAAUAGAUGGCCAUCUGAUUCCCCAUGAAUUACCCCAUCAAUUCUGCGUUUUAGUUUCAAGUUGGAAAAUAGUGAAACCAGAGGCUCAGGUGAUUUAAUUUUGUAUAUACAGUUAAUCAACUAAAAAUGGAACCUGCAUGACAGUUAGACACAGUUUAACUGGCUAUGAGCAAGAAAUACAAAGUUUGAAUAAUAACAAAAUUCGAAGUUGGUAUUUAGUUGGUAAGAUUUCUCAUCCCUUUUUAUUUUUUUAAAGAAAAAAAAUCAAUCUUACAGACAAGAAUACAAAUUGUAAGCCCAUUGAAAAGAUCCUAGAGUAAGCGGAAAUUUUGUAAUCAGCUUGGAGCAGUUUGCAAAGUAACUUCAACAUCUAAAAGGAAAAAUAAUAAAAAAAGAAAGCACAACACGUGCCAUCAAUGAAAUUAACUUUUAUUCUUUGUUAAAGUGGAAUUUAUUUGGUAAUUAGACACGUGCUUAUAUAAAGUAGCUAACAUUCUUUAGUGGUAAUAGCAGACUGUGCUUCUUUUUUAGGGGAAAAAAAAUCGCAACAUUUGUUUCUGGAAAAAAUAAAACUUAUAUGUAUAAUAUAAAUUAUCUGCCUGUUUUCCUCUGUUUAUUUGCUCUGCCAACUUGAAUUGUAUGAGGCCAAGUCACUACACAACAAAAUUUUCUUGAAGAGAAAACUCUAUACUCUUCGAAUGGCGGAAUCUACAAUGGUGACCGACCAUAUCAACACAUUGAAGACUCUAUUUUCACAACUCACAACGUUGGGUCAUAAUAUAGAGGAAAAUGAACGUGCGGAGCUUCUACUUCAAAGUCUACCAGAUUCGUAUGAUCAACUCAUCAUCAACCUGACGAACAACAAUCCAGUGGAGAGUCUAGUUUUCGACGAUGUUGCAACCUCAGUAUUAAAUGAGGAGAGCAGGCGGAAAAAUAAGGAAAACAGACAAGCAAGUUCGCAGCGAGCAGAAGCGCUAUCGGUGACAAGAGGGAGAUCAACGGAACGUGGCCCCAGUGGGAGUCAAAAUCAUGGUAGAUCAAAAUCCAGAAGUAAGAAGAAUGUUAAAUGCUACAACUGUGGCAAGAGAGGGCACGUCAAGAAAGAGUGUUGGAGUAACCAGAAGAAAAGAGAGGGCAAAGAACCUGAGUCAUCAAAUGCUCAGGGUUGUGUAGCAAGUACCUCGGAUGAUGGCGAAAUUCUUUACAGCGAGGCAACAACUAUUUCAGAAGGCAGAAAACGACUUUCUGAUGUCUGGCUUAUAGACUCAGGAGCUACCUGGCACAUGACCUCUAGGAGAGAAUGGUUCCACACAUAUGAACCUAUCUCAGGAGGAUCUGUAUAUAUGGGUAACGAUCAUGCCUUGGAGAUCGCUGGUAUUGGUACUAUCAAAAUAAAAAUGUUUGAUGGUACAAUUCGCACAAUUGGGGAGGUACGACAUGUCAACGGCCUGAAGAAAAAUCUAUUGUCUUUGGGACAAAUGGAUAGUCAUGGGUACAAAACUCAUGUGGAGAAUGGAAUAAUGAAGAUCAUUAAAUGCGCGCUUGUAUUGAUGAAGGCAGAAAAGAUCAGUGCUAAUNNNNNNNNNNNNNNNNNNNNNNNNNNNNNNNNNNNNNNNNNNNNNNNNNNNNNNNNNNNNNNNNNNNNNNNNNNNNNNNNNNNNNNNNNNNNNNNNNNNNNNNNNNNNNNNNNNNNNNNNNNNNNNNNNNNNNNNNNNNNNNNNNNNNNNNNNNNNNNNNNNNNNNNNNNNNNNNNNNNNNNNNNNNNNNNNNNNNNNNNNNNNNNNNNNNNNNNNNNNNNNNNNNNNNNNNNNNNNNNNNNNNNNNNNNNNNNNNNNNNNNNNNNNNNNNNNNNNNNNNNNNNNNNNNNNNNNNNNNNNNNNNNNNNNNNNNNNNNNNNNNNNNNNNNNNNNNNNNNNNNNNNNNNNNNNNNNNNNNNNNNNNNNNNNNNNNNNNNNNNNNNNNNNNNNNNNNNNNNNNNNNNNNNNNNNNNNNNNNNNNNNNNNNNNNNNNNNNNNNNNNNNNNNNNNNNNNNNNNNNNNNNNNNNNNNNNNNNNNNNNNNNNNNNNNNNNNNNNNNNNNNNNNNNNNNNNNNNNNNNNNNNNNNNNNNNNNNNNNNNNNNNNNNNNNNNNNNNNNNNNNNNNNNNNNNNNNNNNNNNNNNNNNNNNNNNNNNNNNNNNNNNNNNNNNNNNNNNNNNNNNNNNNNNNNNNNNNNNNNNNNNNNNNNNNNNNNNNNNNNNNNNNNNNNNNNNNNNNNNNNNNNNNNNNNNNNNNNNNNNNNNNNNNNNNNNNNNNNNNNNNNNNNNNNNNNNNNNNNNNNNNNNNNNNNNNNNNNNNNNNNNNNNNNNNNNNNNNNNNNNNNNNNNNNNNNNNNNNNNNNNNNNNNNNNNNNNNNNNNNNNNNNNNNNNNNNNNNNNNNNNNNNNNNNNNNNNNNNNNNNNNNNNNNNNNNNNNNNNNNNNNNNNNNNNNNNNNNNNNNNNNNNNNNNNNNNNNNNNNNNNNNNNNNNNNNNNNNNNNNNNNNNNNNNNNNNNNNNNNNNNNNNNNNNNNNNNNNNNNNNNNNNNNNNNNNNNNNNNNNNNNNNNNNNNNNNNNNNNNNNNNNNNNNNNNNNNNNNNNNNNNNNNNNNNNNNNNNNNNNNNNNNNNNNNNNNNNNNNNNNNNNNNNNNNNNNNNNNNNNNNNNNNNNNNNNNNNNNNNNNNNNNNNNNNNNNNNNNNNNNNNNNNNNNNNNNNNNNNNNNNNNNNNNNNNNNNNNNNNNNNNNNNNNNNNNNNNNNNNNNNNNNNNNNNNNNNNNNNNNNNNNNNNNNNNNNNNNNNNNNNNNNNNNNNNNNNNNNNNNNNNNNNNNNNNNNNNNNNNNNNNNNNNNNNNNNNNNNNNNNNNNNNNNNNNNNNNNNNNNNNNNNNNNNNNNNNNNNNNNNNNNNNNNNNNNNNNNNNNNNNNNNNNNNNNNNNNNNNNNNNNNNNNNNNNNNNNNNNNNNNNNNNNNNNNNNNNNNNNNNNNNNNNNNNNNNNNNNNNNNNNNNNNNNNNNNNNNNNNNNNNNNNNNNNNNNNNNNNNNNNNNNNNNNNNNNNNNNNNNNNNNNNNNNNNNNNNNNNNNNNNNNNNNNNNNNNNNNNNNNNNNNNNNNNNNNNNNNNNNNNNNNNNNNNNNNNNNNNNNNNNNNNNNNNNNNNNNNNNNNNNNNNNNNNNNNNNNNNNNNNNNNNNNNNNNNNNNNNNNNNNNNNNNNNNNNNNNNNNNNNNNNNNNNNNNNNNNNNNNNNNNNNNNNNNNNNNNNNNNNNNNNNNNNNNNNNNNNNNNNNNNNNNNNNNNNNNNNNNNNNNNNNNNNNNNNNNNNNNNNNNNNNNNNNNNNNNNNNNNNNNNNNNNNNNNNNNNNNNNNNNNNNNNNNNNNNNNNNNNNNNNNNNNNNNNNNNNNNNNNNNNNNNNNNNNNNNNNNNNNNNNNNNNNNNNNNNNNNNNNNNNNNNNNNNNNNNNNNNNNNNNNNNNNNNNNNNNNNNNNNNNNNNNNNNNNNNNNNNNNNNNNNNNNNNNNNNNNNNNNNNNNNNNNNNNNNNNNNNNNNNNNNNNNNNNNNNNNNNNNNNNNNNNNNNNNNNNNNNNNNNNNNNNNNNNNNNNNNNNNNNNNNNNNNNNNNNNNNNNNNNNNNNNNNNNNNNNNNNNNNNNNNNNNNNNNNNNNNNNNNNNNNNNNNNNNNNNNNNNNNNNNNNNNNNNNNNNNNNNNNNNNNNNNNNNNNNNNNNNNNNNNNNNNNNNNNNNNNNNNNNNNNNNNNNNNNNNNNNNNNNNNNNNNNNNNNNNNNNNNNNNNNNNNNNNNNNNNNNNNNNNNNNNNNNNNNNNNNNNNNNNNNNNNNNNNNNNNNNNNNNNNNNNNNNNNNNNNNNNNNNNNNNNNNNNNNNNNNNNNNNNNNNNNNNNNNNNNNNNNNNNNNNNNNNNNNNNNNNNNNNNNNNNNNNNNNNNNNNNNNNNNNNNNNNNNNNNNNNNNNNNNNNNNNNNNNNNNNNNNNNNNNNNNNNNNNNNNNNNNNNNNNNNNNNNNNNNNNNNNNNNNNNNNNNNNNNNNNNNNNNNNNNNNNNNNNNNNNNNNNNNNNNNNNNNNNNNNNNNNNNNNNNNNNNNNNNNNNNNNNNNNNNNNNNNNNNNNNNNNNNNNNNNNNNNNNNNNNNNNNNNNNNNNNNNNNNNNNNNNNNNNNNNNNNNNNNNNNNNNNNNNNNNNNNNNNNNNNNNNNNNNNNNNNNNNNNNNNNNNNNNNNNNNNNNNNNNNNNNNNNNNNNNNNNNNNNNNNNNNNNNNNNNNNNNNNNNNNNNNNNNNNNNNNNNNNNNNNNNNNNNNNNNNNNNNNNNNNNNNNNNNNNNNNNNNNNNNNNNNNNNNNNNNNNNNNNNNNNNNNNNNNNNNNNNNNNNNNNNNNNNNNNNNNNNNNNNNNNNNNNNNNNNNNNNNNNNNNNNNNNNNNNNNNNNNNNNNNNNNNNNNNNNNNNNNNNNNNNNNNNNNNNNNNNNNNNNNNNNNNNNNNNNNNNNNNNNNNNNNNNNNNNNNNNNNNNNNNNNNNNNNNNNNNNNNNNNNNNNNNNNNNNNNNNNNNNNNNNNNNNNNNNNNNNNNNNNNNNNNNNNNNNNNNNNNNNNNNNNNNNNNNNNNNNNNNNNNNNNNNNNNNNNNNNNNNNNNNNNNNNNNNNNNNNNNNNNNNNNNNNNNNNNNNNNNNNNNNNNNNNNNNNNNNNNNNNNNNNNNNNNNNNNNNNNNNNNNNNNNNNNNNNNNNNNNNNNNNNNNNNNNNNNNNNNNNNNNNNNNNNNNNNNNNNNNNNNNNNNNNNNNNNNNNNNNNNNNNNNNNNNNNNNNNNNNNNNNNNNNNNNNNNNNNNNNNNNNNNNNNNNNNNNNNNNNNNNNNNNNNNNNNNNNNNNNNNNNNNNNNNNNNNNNNNNNNNNNNNNNNNNNNNNNNNNNNNNNNNNNNNNNNNNNNNNNNNNNNNNNNNNNNNNNNNNNNNNNNNNNNNNNNNNNNNNNNNNNNNNNNNNNNNNNNNNNNNNNNNNNNNNNNNNNNNNNNNNNNNNNNNNNNNNNNNNNNNNNNNNNNNNNNNNNNNNNNNNNNNNNNNNNNNNNNNNNNNNNNNNNNNNNNNNNNNNNNNNNNNNNNNNNNNNNNNNNNNNNNNNNNNNNNNNNNNNNNNNNNNNNNNNNNNNNNNNNNNNNNNNNNNNNNNNNNNNNNNNNNNNNNNNNNNNNNNNNNNNNNNNNNNNNNNNNNNNNNNCAGAAGAAUUAUUUGAAGAAAAUCUUGCGGCGCUUCAACAUGCAAGAUUGUAAGUCAAUUUCUACCCCACUUCCUGUUAAUUUUAAAUUAUCCUCAAGUAUGUGUCCUAGCAAUGAAGCAGAGAGGAAGGAGAUGUCUCGAGUACCGUAUGCAUCAGCAGUGGGAAGUUUAAUGUUCGCUAUGAUAUGUACAAGACCGGACAUUGCACAAGCAGUGGGAGCAGUCAGUCAAUACAUGGCGAAUCCUGGUGAAGAGCAUUGGAUAUCUGUGAAGAGGAUUCUGAGAUACAUCAGAGGAACCUCAGAUGUUGCAUUAUGUUAUGGAGGAUCAGAGUUUACUGUCAGGGGUUAUGUGGAUUCAGAUUUUGCAGGAGACCUUGAUAAAAGGAAAUCCACUACUGGUUAUGUGUUUGAACUUGCGGGAGCAGCUGUAAGCUGGGUUUCGAAACUGCAGACCGUUGUGGCAUUAUCUACAACAGAAGCAGAGUACAUGGCAGCUACACAAGCUUGCAAGGAAGCUAUUUGGAUACAAAGGCUAUUGGAGGAGCUCGGGCACAAACAACAGAAAAUUUCUGUGUUUUGUGACAGUCAGAGUGCCUUGCACAUUACAAGGAAUCCAGCCUUUCAUUCCAGGACAAAGCACAUAGGAGUUCAGUAUCACUUCGUACGAGAAGUAGUGGAAGACGGAAGUGUGGAUUUGCAGAAAAUCCAUACCAAAGAGAACCUAGUAGAUGUUUUGACCAAGCCAAUCAAUACUGAUAAGUUUGUCUGGAGUAGAUCCUUUAGUGGCCUAACGAAAACGUAGGCAACAUGAUUAUGGCGAAGCAGAAAGGAUGAUGUGGAGAUUGAUUGAUUUUCAAUCAAAUCUCCAAGUGGGAGAAAUGUCAAAGGCCGGUGGCCACAAAACCAAUUCAAGUUGGUUUUGACAAGCCGGCCAAAGAAAAUGUGCAGCCGGCCAAAGAAAAUGGUGCCAUCCAAAUGGAGAAAAAGAAGAAGUUGGCAACAACAUUUGAAAUAUAUACAUAUAUAUAUUAAUUUAAUAGCCAUUUUUUUGGCUAUAAAAGGAAGAGCUCCCUAACUCAUUUUUCAUUCCAAUCUUGAGAGGCAAUUUUUGUAGAGAGAAUUGAGAGUUGAGAGAAGUAAUUCUUGCAAGAGCAAAGAAUUUUGUGUGCUUAGUGAUUUGAGAGUUUGGGUGUAUUGGGGUUUUGGGUAGUGAGCUAAAAUACUACAAUACUUGUAACUCCUUUUCACUAGUAUAAUAUUUCCUCCUGUCUUCGCCCGUGGACGUAGGCUAAAAGCCGAACCACGUAAUUUCUGGUAUUCUCUUUUGUGCUUGUUCUUUAUUUUCUUCCAAUUUUAUUGUAGCUGCGUGUCUGCUUUACCCACCAAUUUCCUAACAUGACAUCCCCAUACACGUAUAUGACCAAGCUACCUAGCGGCCAAUAGUACAUAAAAUAAAUAAGGAACUCCAAUACCAUCAAUUCUGCGUUUAAGUUUCUAGUUGGAAAAUAGUGAAACCAGAGGCUCAGGUGAUUUAGUUUUGUAUAUACAGUUAAUCAAGUAAAAAUGGAACCUGCAUGACAGUUAGACACAGUUUAACUGGCUUUGAGCAAGAAAUACAAAGUUUGAAUAAUAACAAAAUUCAAAGUUGGUAUUUAGUGGGUAAGAUUUCUCAUCCCUUUUUAAAUUUUUUUAAAGAAAAAAAUCAAUCUUACAGACAAGAAUACAAAUUGCAGGCCGAUUGAAAAGAUCCUAGAGUAAGCGGAAAUUUUUUAAUUCGCUUGGAGAAGUUUACAAAGUAACUUCAACAUCUAAAAGGAAAAAUAAUAAAAAAAGAAAGCACAACACGGGCCAUCAAUGAAAUUAACUUUUAUUCUUUGUUAAAGUGGAAUUUAUUUGGUAAUUAGACAUAUGCUUAUAUAAAGUAGCUAACAUUCUUUAGUGGUAAUAGCAGACUGUGCUUCUUUUUUGGAAAAAAAAAUCGCAACGUUUGUUUUUGGAAAAAAUAAAAAUUAUAGGUAUAAUGGUAAUUAUCUGCCCUGUUUUCCUCUGUUUAUUUGCUCUGCCAACUUGUAGUGUCGUCACUAUUUGUCUAUUUUCCCAGCCUUUUUAAAAUCUCAAACUUUUCAAAUAUUUUAGCCAUUACUUUGUAAAAAAUUAGAAGUUUAUGUUUCCUUCAUUUGCACGGCUUUCAACUACUUAAACCUCCACAAACUAGACCAAACUAAACUUUUUGCUCUAGCAAAACUCUUUUAAAAAUUCCUACAUUUCUAUAAAACUCUCUUACUAUAUAAAUCAAUAGUAGGUAAAAGCACAUUUAGUCCUUAUAUUUUAAAAUUAGUAUCCAUUUAAUCCAUGUAUUUAUAAAAAUGCCUCGAAACAUCUCUGCUGUUAAAGUAUUGAUACUAUUACCGUUACUUUUUAUUUCUUUUAGCUUACUUUUACAAUAUUACCCUUUUAUAAUAAUUUUUUUUUUGGACAUUAAUAAAAAGAAAAUAAUUAAAUUACCAAUUUAACCCUAAAAAUAAAAAAAAUUAUAUUAAUUUCUAAUUGUCAAAAAUUAAAUUGUUAAAAAUUGUAUGCAAACUACCAAGUGUGCAAAUGGUGCUUGAAAAAAAAUUUAAUAUAAUUUUUUUAAUUUUCUAGGAUUAAAUUGGUAAUUUAAUUUUUUUUAUUAAUGUUCAGACAAAAAAAUUAUUAUAAAAGGGUAAUAAUGUAAAAAUAAGUCAAAAAAAUAAAAAGUAACAGUAGGGUAUCAAUACUUUAACGACGGGAAUGUUUCGAGACAUUUUUAAAAAUACAGGGACUAAAUGGACACUAAUCUUAAAAUACAGUGACUAAAUGGACUUUUACCCAUUAAUAAUUAUGUAACUCAAAACUAAACUCUUAUUAUGUAUUUGUGGCUUUUAUAAAAUAUGCUUUUAUUGUUGUUCUUGUAAUUGAUUUUGACUUAUUUCAUUUCUAUUUUUUUUUUGGUAUACAAAAAUCAUAUCUCUUUUUGACAUUCUCUAGAGUCUUUGGUCAAAAUUAAUUGAACUUCUAAUUAAAAUGUAGUUGCAAAAUGGUGUGAAAUGAUAAAAUAAACCUAAAGCAUUGCCUAUAUAUCUAUUAAUUUUAAUUGUCAAUUUAUUCGCUUGCAACUAAUAUUAAAUUUUUAUAGCAUCAUUUUAUUGCCAAUAUUUUUCAGUAAAUACAUAUUUCAUUAUUACCUGAUCAAUAUUUGUUGUCUAUCUUUACUCAUCAAAUGCCACAUUGACAUCACUCCCCAUUACUCUUUCUUUAUAUUUUAAACUAACUCCAAUCAAUUAUAUAUAUCUAGUACAUGAAAUUACAUAAAAUUAUGAACUCAAUGUUUCUAAUCUAAUAUCAUGAAAAUUGAUAGAUGAUCAAAUGUUGAUGUAAUGCUGCAUGUAGACAUAUUUUCGUUGUUGCUGUGGCCUGUGGCCAUUUCACAAAGAAUUAAAUUGAUCAUUUAUUUCCUUUGUUCUGUUUAUUUGAUCUGCUUAACUUGCAGUGGCUUUAUUAUUUGUCUAUUUUCUCAAUAUUUCAUAAACCUCAAACUUGUCCAUUGAUCCUUGCUCCAAGCCAUGUCCUGUUAGUCAGACACAUGCAUGUGUGGGCGAAGCUUGCGCCUUUUUUGCAUCGACUGAUCAAAUUACUUAUUUUUCAUUUUGAUCUUUGUUCUAUAUCUUCUUUGAAAACGUUAUCGAAAUCACCCUUAGCCAAUUAUAUCAAAUCAAAUGAAUAGGUUCAUUUUACUUGUAUUAAUUUCUUUAUAAUUUCUCAAAAAUUAAUCCUUUGUUUUAGCCAGUGGAGUUGGUCGGACGUCAGUCCAGCUAAUUCAAGAUCUGAAGAUUUGGAAUUCGUUGAAAAUUGCAAUGUAUGCAAGUGCUGACAGAAUAUAUAUAAAUUUCCUGCAGGUGUUGACGGUUUAAAUUUCCUGCAAGUUGCAACGCAUUCGAGAAAACAGAACAAAAAAGCUAGCUCUUCCUAAUUGGCACAUUUUACUUAAUGAUGUGCCCACAAAUGUGGGACUCUAAUAACGUUUGGGAGAUAUAAAAGAGUUUGGGUAACAAUGUAGGAAGCUCUAAUCUUUAGUGAUAGAAUAAUGUUUCGUGAUUGUCAAAUAUUUUAUCUUUUAAUUAAUCAUAAAGAACUAGUAGUCGUAUUAAUUAAUUAGUAUAAGCGAGCUAGCUGAAUGUUCAAUGUUAUUGCACUUUUGAGUUACAUAUGGCGUGGUAUGCUCGCGCAAUGAAAUUGAGUUUUGAGUUUUUGUGAUAUGAUACUAUUCAAUCAAGUAACUCUACUCUUCAGUGAUAGACACAAAUGAAAGUGCACAUGCAUUAGCUAGAUGGUAAUUGAUAGACCAAGUGUAUAUUUCCAUCAUAAUUAACAACUAACAAUCUUACAUGAUCCAGUGUCAAUUGGUUUUCAAUUUCUUUUAUUAAUUUCUUUUUCUGCUGUACCGUACAUCCGCCUUGGCCGUACAGCAGAAUAUUACCCUUUUAUAAUAAUUUUUUUUUUGGACAUUAAUAAAAAGAAAAUAAUUAAAUUACCAAUUUAACCCUAAAAAUAAAAAAAAUUAUAUUAAUUUCUAAUUGUCAAAAAUUGUAUGUAAACUAUCAAGUGUGCAGAUGGUGCUUGCAAAAAAAAUAAUAUAAAUUUUUUAUUAUUUUUUAAGGUUAAAUUGGUAAUUUAAUUAUUUUAUUUUUAUUAAUGUCCAAAUAAAAAAAUUAUUAUAAAAGGGUAAUAUUAUAAAAGUAUGCCAAAAGAAAUAAAAAAUAAUGAUAGGGGUAUCAAUACUUUAACGGCGGGGAUGUUUUGAGGUAUUUUUAAAAAUACGGGGACUAAAUGGACGCUAAUCUUAAAAUACAGGGACUAAAUAGGCUUUUACUCCAAAAUUAAUUAUAUGUAGUCCAAAAUUAUUUACUCCAAAAAAUAAUGAUAGGGGUAUCAAUACUUUAACGGCAGGGAUGUUUUGAGGUAUUUUUAAAAAUACGAGGACUAAAUGGACGCUAAUCUUAAAAUACAGGAACUAAAUAGGCUUUUACUCCAAAAUUAAUUAUAUGUAGUCCAAAAUUAUUUACUCCAAAAAAUAAUGAUAGGGGUAUCAAUACUUUAACGGCAGGGAUGUUUUGAGGUAUUUUUAAAAAUACGAGGACUAAAUGGACGCUAAUCUUAAAAUACAGGAACUAAAUAGGCUUUUACUCCAAAAUUAAUUAUAUGUAGUCGAAAUUAUUAAAGAUAUAAUAGAUUUUUUAUCUUAUAAGUAAAAAAUUAUAUCAACAUAUCUUAUAAGAUAUAACAGAUAGUAUUUACUAAAUACUUUAAUACUGUAGCUUCUAAGAUAGAGCAAUCUAACCUCUAGUCCAGACACACUGUAUAUGAUGGAUAUCUAAGAAGAAAAAAAUAUAUAUUAUAUAUAGUGAGAGUGAGUUAAAAGAAAAAGAAAAAGGGGCUGCAAAGAAUAUUCUGUCAUGUCAAAAGCACGUAAGAAACAGUCGAGUGAAAGGCGAGUGUGCUUCCAGAAUUCCCCCAGAGAGCGAUGAUGUGAAAAAAUGUAACACUGUACUUUGUGAUGUAAGCAACCCCACCACCACUCCUCAACCUUGCUCUCUUUGUAUAAAACUCCCACAAAAAUAAAACACCCAAAACUCAACUUGAACUGUAUAAAUUAAUUAGUAUUCCGACUGCACGGGUUUGUAAAUGUUUAGGACUGUAUUUUUCUUAUUGGGGUGGGUGUAACAUGUAAUGGCCUCCAUGCAUUUCUUGAUGUUAUUAUUAUUGAUGUUGUAUCUUAGUAUUGUCUUGAUGUAGCUUUGAAGUAUACUUGGAGUCUUGAUGGCUUGGCAGACUUUGGGCAGCUGCGUUGCUUACUUCGAAUGGCAGAGCCAAGUUGUAGUCUUCGAAUUGGCAUCAUCGUAUAGUUCAAUAGCCAAGCUGCAGGUCUUCAAUUAUUUGUUGAUCUAGUGUUCUACUUAUAAACAACUAAAAAUCAUUUUGAAUCUUUGGCUAAUAAGAAUUGUCAUUCCGAACUAAGGGCCAAUGAGCUGAGGAUUGUUGCUAAAAUAUGAGUUCUGUGUUCUAUCAUGCAUUUUCUAUACUCUUAAUUGUUUGAGCCUAUAAACUAAGACAUGCUUGGCAUGGACAUCUCAAAAGCUCAGGAUGACUAGCAUGAAGUACUGCAAACUUGAGAAACUCAUUUACCGCGUUCUCAUAUUCUAUAGACCUUCUAUCCAUCAACAUCCAAGAUUUAUCCAUAUUUAAACUAUUAACUUUCCGGCAAAUGCAUCGCAUUUUAUUCAUUCAGUUUUAUUAAUAUUAGAAAUUGAUAUUGUUUACAACCACAAGAACAACUAAUAAAAUUAUAGAAUCAACCAAAAAAAGGGGGCAAUGAGAUCACAAUUUCACUAAUUAAGCAACUACAGUGUCUCUAACAUAGUUUCUGCUACUAUAUAUUUGUGAUUGUGCAGAAUCUAACAGAUGUUAUAAAUAAAUAUCAAAUGAAGCUUUCGGCAUUGAUUCCAUCAACUAUUUUUAUUGAUUCAAUAGAUAUAAGUUCCAAGUCUGAUGAGUGGUGGAUUCAUUAAUUGAGCAACUAAAGUCCUAAACUUGUGCCCAGCCCAUUGAACUGUUGCAGCAUAAAUUAACAUUACUUCUAAUAUGCAAUCAAUUUGAAAACUGUUGCAGUUCUAUAAUUUUCCCUUGUUGGAUUCAAUUUGCAAAGUGCAUUAAGAUGUUUGCUAAAAACAAAAAUAAUCUUUUAAAGAGACAUUUAAUCAAACAAUUAAUGCGCAUUCAAAUAGCAGAACACUCUAAAAUCAUUUCAACAGGAUGUAAAUCUCAAAUCGCUAUUAUUAUUACGAGACUCAAUUAAUUUCAAUUGAAAAUAUUACACAUUCAAUUAUCACCUGAAAUCAACGUUGCUCUUGGCGGAAUUAAGGAGAAAGCUCUGUUCUCAAUAUAAUCAAUGAGAGGAGCAACGCUAUAAUCUGCUUGAAGAAAAGAAUGAAAAAGAUAUCCUAAGUUAAAUAAACAAAAAUUGAACAGAUAAAAUAAAUUGAUUCUUUCAAAAUUGAGAAUGAAAAUAAAAAUUACUCGUUUCUUGUUUUUUGAACAGGAAAUUGAGACUCGGAAUCAAUUAAAUCAACCUAGGUUGAUUAAAAAUACAAUUAAUUCAAAUAUAACCCUAAAUUAUCAAACUAGAAAGAGAGAGGUAAAAAGAAAUAUUAUCAAAAUUAAAGGAAACAAUACCUGAAAUGAAUCAAAAUCUUUUCCACUAGUGUCUUUGGCCAGAAAUAUUUGACUUUUCUACUUUGUAAUUACCAAAUGACCAGAGCAUUGUAAUAUCUUUUAAAAGAUAAUUAAGGAAUGAAACUAAGAAACCGACUAUCAGUUGUAAAAUGAAACCAAUAACUUGAUGAGUCGAUAAAUUAAUAGUUUUUGCUAGUAGAAUUAAAAAAAAUUAAAUUGUUUUAUUCAUAAAAAAAAUAUCGCAUUUAAUUUCUCCCAAACUUUAAAAUUGAGAUUUCACUCUUAUUCCUGAUGUAUUUCUACCAAAAAUAUUGCAUAAAAAAUAAAUAAAACAAGAUAACCACCAAAAAAUUGAUACAACAAAGCCCGAAUUAAAGACUAUAGUAUAUGACAUGAGUUUACCCAAAAAAAAAAAAAUUAAAAAUUGAGUUUAUUAAAGAAUUGAGUUCUCAAGGAUAGUAUGUAAUUAAUUUUCCUCUGUCUGCUUAACUUCUGUCUUCAUUAUUUGUUUAUUUUCCCAAUCCUUUUUUUAAUUAAAAAAAAAAACUCAAAUUUGUCUGUUAUACUUUAUAAGAUCUGGAGUUCGAUGAUGCAGGACAAAUUAUUUAGGGUUAAUUAUUAUUGUUUUUAAUUUCAAUUCGUCAUGGAAGCCUUUGGAGAGACCAACCAAUAUUUGCCAAUUUGUGAGGUGAGAUACAAGCAUUUCAUGAUAUUCUGCAAGCUUUUAACACGUCAAUAAUCGAAACAGCGAGAAAUUAAAUCAUAGGAAUUAAAAAUCUAAAAAAAUUAUUUUUUUAUACAUUGAUUGAACUUCAUUCUCAAUUGAAAAUUAUGACGUUUAAAUAAAUUGUCGUUUAAAAAAAUGUCAAGUAUUCUGUUUUUUUCUUGUAGAAUUAAGGAAUGAAACUAAGAAACCGACUGUCAACUGUAAAUGAAACCAAUAACUUGAUAAGUUAAUGGUUUUUGCUGGUAGAAUUAAAAAAAAAUUAAAUUAUUUUAUUCAUAAAAAAAUAUCGUAUUUCAUUUUUCCCAAAUUUUAAAAUUGGAAUUUCACUCUUAUUCCUGUUGUAUUUCUACCAUAAAUCCUGUAUUUCUAAUUCCGUUUUUUAAAUUUUAGAUAGAUGUGCUGCAUGUGCACGUGUAUAUCUUUAUAUGCAUGUACUAAAUAGGAAGCAGCAUAUAACGAAAACAUAGCUUCUUUUUGCUGGGCACUGAUUUUGUCUUUACAGAAUCUGGUAACACUUAUUGGUGCUGGCCUCUGUUUCUCUUUUCACUUCUAUGAUUGGAAGAAAGUCAAUAAAACCAAGUUGAUAAAAGGGGUCACUAAAUAUUUUCUUUUGGUAAAGAUUGGAAAUCAGAAAAAAGAAAAAAAGAAAUUGUAAGUGGAUCUAAUUGGUAACUGAAUCAUGAUCAAUAUUAUUGAGAUAUUAGAAUUUCAAAUAUCGAAUUGUUUAUGUAUUUUUAAGAAAAACCUAUGCGCUGCUUUAAGUUCGUCUUGUAAUUAUUGUUGCCGCCAAAUUUAACUAUUUACUGUGGGUCACAUGUCAUUCAAUAACCAACUAUCAAACGAAUUAAUAAUUUAGUUUCAUACGGCAUUCUUUUUAUGAAAUGUUCACUCCAAUUAGAGUAAUAAUAAUAUACAGAAAUGCUUUUCAACAUCACCGAUUUUUUGUUUAAAAAAAAAAAAAGAAGAAUUAUUUUAUAGACUGCAUGCUCCCAUGGAUCAAAUGUCAUUCGAUAAUCAACUAUCAAAUGAAUUAAUAAUUUAUGUAUAUUAUGUCAUUUAUUAGUAAGUUUUUGUAUAUUAAUUUUUCCAGUAAAAAGGAAUGAUCAGAUACAUUUUCUCAUAAAGGAAAUCUUAUGACUUUCUCCUUUUAAUAAAAUCGAGUGCUCUCUUGUCGAUAAAAUAGCAAACGACAAUCUUAACCAUUGAUUCUCAAUCUAAAAUAUAGUUCUGAGUCACUCAAUCAUAAAUGCUAACCUAAUUAACAAAAAAAAAAAAAAUCUUUCUCACUUACUAUGUUUCGACGACCAAAAAUUAACUGUUUUUUAUUGAUACGACCAAAAAUAAACUGUUUUUUUAUUGAAGAAAGCAAAAAAUCACAAAACCAAUUAGAUGCAGUGGGUUCAGAUGGUAGUCAAACACUACGUCGUUAUUCAUUUACAAAUCCAAACCGUUAAAACAACGUAAUUAAAAUCUAACGGCUAGGUACAAUAACAACAAAAAAGUGGAGUACGGAGUUGGAUCCUGAAGUAAAGAAGAAGAAAAAUUAACUACUAUAUAUAUGAUUUUCUUUUCUUUUUUAAGAAAAGAACAUUUUGUGACAAUUUGAACAUUAUUUUUGUUAAGUUAGAUUGAAAUUUAUGAGUAUUAAUAUAAAAGAAGUGAUAAAAGUUAAUUUGUCCAUACACAAUUAAAUUAGACUGAAAUUUAGAAAUAUGUGUAACAACCCAAUCGCAGCCUACUGAUUUUGAAUUGGAACUGUUUUAACUUGUUUUAAAAUUAUUUUAACUACAACAGUUAAUAAAGGUUAAUGCAUGAGAAGGUACUUUAUUUAUUUUGGCUGACCCCUUCUCCUUCGGCUAAGCCAUUAACCAUAUGAUGAAUAAUACUAAUAAAAUAAGUUUCAUCGAUACAAAAGUUCUAUUUCUUUUCACAAUUAGAAGUGGCCAAUGUGGUGCACAACACUAAGUUAAGGUUGAUAUCUCUAAUUUAAUCUGGUUAAUUUUUUUUCAAAAAUUUCAAGUAAAAAAGAUUCUUAAAAUUAAAUUUCGAUGGUGGUUGUUUUUAAUUUCAAUUCGUCAUGGAAGCCUUCCGAUAUUUGCCAAUUUGUGAGGUGAGAUACAAGCAUUUCAUGAUAUUCUGCAAGCUUUUAACACGUCAAUAAUCGAAACAGAGAGAAAUUAAAUCAUAGGAAUUAAAAAUCUAAAAAAAUUAUUUUUUUAUACAUUGAUUGAACUUCAUUCUCAAUUGAAAAUUAUGACAAAGUUAAAUAAAUUAAUCACCACAAUUAGUAAAUAUUAGUACCUCAAGUUAAUGAAUUAAUAACUUAAUAAUGCUACAUUUUCAUCAAAAUUAAUAAGUCCUACGAAUUCAUCUUACAUGAUCCGAUGCUAGUGGCCCCUUUACAAAUGAUUACAUGUUUGCUUCGUAAUUAAUUAAUAAAGUGAAAACAAAAACAAAUAGACCCUCACACCAAUAGUUUUGUAAACAACCAAACCCCACCAUCUCCUUUUAAAAAAGAGAGAAAAUACAAUCGGAGAAUUACCACUUUACACUCUCUCAAUCACUGUUAUUUGAUUCCGUAUAAUAUUUCAAAAUAAAAAGGAAAUCAUUUUGUAUAGCUUUUGUUAAUAAGUGAAUUUGAAAAUAUUUGAAAAUUAGUCCCAUUUUCUGUACAAUUUAAAAAAAGAAAAUGUAUAGUAUCCAUUUUGUUUUUUGAAAUUGUUUCUUAUCCGUGAUUAAUUCACCAAUGUCCAGUUCCUUAAACACGAGCAUGCGAAGCUUGCUAGUGUAAUUAUUGGUGGCUACCGUCUUUUAUUUCAUUUAGUGUAAUAAUAGGGUUCUGUUAAUUAUGUUAUUAGCUUAUUAAGUAUAUACCUUUAACAAACGAGUCGAAAUUGUGUUAUUUAAAAUUUCAUUUUAUCUCAUUUCGACACUACAGGAAUAUGAAUAUUUCAUUACAUUACAAAUUUGUAUAGGUGAUUAUUUAAAAAAAAUGCAGUGCACUUAUAAUAAUAAAAAGAGAGAUUAAAAUCUUUUAAUUUAGCUUGCUUUUAUAAGUAGAAGACUUCCAAAGCGAAGGUGGAUGCAUUCUAUUUUCCUUCUACAUUCAACAAUUUUUUUUUCUCUUUAUUCAACAUUUGAAGAAAGCAAGAACAUUGAUAUUCUAAAGUGUAGAAGAAUUGAAACUCUCUUCAAACUUUUAAAAUGAACCUGAAGAGACAGUCAGAGGAGAAGAAUGCAACUUUAUUCCAAGCUAAUUAUAUUCCUGACAUUUAAGAUUAACAAAAUGGUUCAUUGCUUUCAUGUUCUCUCUGAUGCAGGGCCUAAUUAAUCAUGUUAAGGAAAGGCAAGAUUCUGGUUUGGCUUUUAUUUAAUUUAGUAUGUAAAGCAAAAGGCAUGAUCAUGAGCUCCUCCGAUUUUAUAUUUGUAAUGGGCUCUAUUCUGUGGGCUCUGUUUUUCCUUUUCACUUUUGACGUGGGUUUUGCUUAAUAGGAAAUAGAAAAUUUAAUCCAAAAAAGAGAUAUAAAACUUCUUAACAUUUUAAAAAAGAUAUAUAACCCUUAUUUGGGUUCUGUUAAUUAUGUUAUUAGCUUAUUAAGUAUAUACCUUUAACAAACGAGUCGAAAUUGUGUUAUUUAAAAUUUCAUUUUAUCUCAUUUCGACACUACAGGAAUAUGAAUAUUUCAUUACAUUACAAAUUUGUAUAGGUGAUUAUUUAAAAAAAAUGCAGUGCACUUAUAAUAAUAAAAAGAGAGAUUAAAAUCUUUUAAUUUAGCUUGCUUUUAUAAGUAGAAGACUUCCAAAGCGAAGGUGGAUGCAUUCUAUUUUCCUUCUACAUUCAACAAUUUUUUUUUCUCUUUAUUCAACAUUUGAAGAAAGCAAGAACAUUGAUAUUCUAAAGUGUAGAAGAAUUGAAACUCUCUUCAAACUUUUAAAAUGAACCUGAAGAGACAGUCAGAGGAGAAGAAUGCAACUUUAUUCCAAGCUAAUUAUAUUCCUGACAUUUAAGAUUAACAAAAUGGUUCAUUGCUUUCAUGUUCUCUCUGAUGCAGGGCCUAAUUAAUCAUGUUAAGGAAAGGCAAGAUUCUGGUUUGGCUUUUAUUUAAUUUAGUAUGUAAAGCAAAAGGCAUGAUCAUGAGCUCCUCCGAUUUUAUAUUUGUAAUGGGCUCUAUUCUGUGGGCUCUGUUUUUCCUUUUCACUUUUGACGUGGGUUUUGCUUAAUAGGAAAUAGAAAAUUUAAUCUAAAAAAGAGAUAUAAAACUUCUUAACAUUUUAAAAAAGAUAUAUAACCCUUAUUUUUAUUAAUAAAUUUUAUUUUUUUAAUAGUAAAUUUAUUUUUAAUUUACAAUUAUUAUUAUGUCACCAUAAUAAAUAAAUUCAUAUAUUUAGAAUUUUAGAUAUGAAUAAGAUAAUCUUGCACUACUCUUUUCUUACCCCUAUUUCUUAAAAUGAAUUUCAUCAAAUAACAUAUAUUUUUUAUGCAUCAAAUAUCCAAUACAUUGUUUUUUAACAGAAUCAACAUAUUGAUUCCUAGCAGACUUGCAAUAUUCAAGAGUAUUCAGGUUUACUUUCGUUGAUGCACAACGGAAGCAAAUAAAUAAAUGUUUCAUUAUAUCCUAAAGACAUAUUUGCUUAACUCAUGUGUAUCACUGAAUUGGCGGGGGCAAAUAAUGUCUUAAGAAAAGUAAUAUUUGUAAUGUGUCUUGAAUUACAUAUUAAUUUUCUACUGUUUACCUUUUUCAUUAUAUUAAAGUUCCACCAUUUUUAUUGCUAUUCUCUAUGUUUGCCAUUCCGCACAAAUACAUAUCCCCAACGUAUUAGUUAUCACUUCUUAGAAAUUUUGUAAAUAUCAAUAAUUAAUAUCAUUAUUCAAUCAUUUAGAAAAACCUCAUUAUUAAUGACUAGUUGAUCUCUCCAUUAAAACUAGACACAUUGUAAAUAUGUGAACUCUAAUUAAAUUUUGAUACUUGUAAUAUAUAUGAGCCAUAUCUAAAAGAGUGAGUUUUAAUUUCGACUUCCAUUUUUUUAAAUGCUAGGUAGAUGUACUGAAUAGGAAGCAACAAAUGAAGAUGGAUUCUUUUUGCUGGACACUGGUUUUUAUUUUUCAUUUUUUUCCAAUUAUUCAAUGGUGCUUGGUCCACCCAUGUCCGGUUCGUCAUGCAGACAAGCACAAGCGCGUGAAGCUUGCUAAAUUAUUGAUGGUGGUGGGGGCUGCCUCUGGCUUUUGCUUUCACUUUCGUGUAAUAAAGUGAAGCUUGCUGAAUUAUUGGUGGCGGGGACUUUUUUUUGUUUUCACAUUAGAGUUAUUUCAGUUGUGUCUACAUCAUUGAUAACAUAUUAAUCGUCAUAUUAUUUUAUUAAGUAUAUAUGUUUAAUAAAUGAGUCGAACUUAUGUUCAGUUAAAAUUUUGUUAUAAUUUAUUUUGACACGACAAUAAUAUAACAUGCCGGUAGAAAUUACUAUUGUGAUUAUAAAAAAUUAUAGUGUAUUUUUAAGUCUUCGUUAUAGCACGGAAAUUAAUUAAAUAAAUAAAGUAAUCAUAUGGCAAAAGGAGAGAGAGAGAGAAACGUUUUUUUUUUUUAAUUUAUUUUAACUUGGUUUAUGAGUUUGAAGACUUGUAAAGGGGACGUUCGUAGUAAGAUACAUUCCAUUUUCCACUUUAUUCAGCGUUUACCCGGACACUGGAUUAAUGUUGCAUGGCCCUACAAAUGUCGAGGUGUGAUUUUAUAUUCAUUGAAUCUGGUAACAAGUGGUGGUGACCGGUGAUUGGUGAAUUGCUAAAUUAUUAAUGGGUGGUGGGCUCUGCUUUUAUUUUUCACUUUACUGGAAUAAACAAGUGGAAGACUUGCUACACGCAUUUUGCUUGACCCUUCACACUUACUGCUCAAUUUUCUCAUUUUGCUUUCCACAACUCAAAGUUCUGUUUCCUUCUUAAGUCAAUACCAAACAAAUAUUGCCAAUUUGUGAGAUGAGAUACUGUCUCUUUAAUAAGUCAAAAAGCGAAAGAGAGUGAAAUCAAAUUUUUAGAAUUAAAAUUAAAAAAAAAAGUAUCUUUGUUUUUUUUCCCAAUAAAUUGAUUGAACCUCAUUCUUAAUUAUAAAUAAUGACAAGUUAAGUAAAUUAAUCAGCACCGCAGUUAGUGAAUAUUAAUUGAUUACCAUUUUUCUCUUUGUAUCCUUGUUGUUUGAUUCCAUAUAAUGUUUUCAGAAACACGACCAUGCGAAACUUGCUAAAUUAUGAAAGGUAGUACUGUCUUUUAUUUCAUUUAGUGUAAUAAUCACAUUUUGUUAGUUAUGUUAGAAAUCUACUAAAUAUAUAUCUUUAACAAAUGAGUCGAAUUUGUUUUAUCUAAAAUUUCGUUUUACAACAGGAACAUAACAUUAUGAUACGUAUUCGCAUUGAGAUUUAAAAAAAAUGUAGGUUUUUCUCUUAUUAUUAUUUUAAAAUUUGUCAUUAAUUACGGCUCUGUUUUUUCUUUUCUUAACUGCAAGGAACAACAAGUGGAAAGACUUGCCACGUUUUACGUGUAUUUUGCGUGACCCUUGAAUUUUCAAGUGGUGGUGACGAGUGAAUUGCCAAAUUAUUAGUCAAUGGUCAAUAAAGUGUACACGCGUGAUUUCUACUAAGCUUGCUGGGCCAGACCCUUCACAAUCACAAACUCAUUCUGCUUAAUUAUCCAUUUUCUCACCCGUUCAAUUUUCUCUUUCUGCUUUCCAUAACUCAUAAUUCUGCUCCUUUCUUCCUUUUGCCCAAAAAUAAAAAAGAAAAAAAAUGUCAAUCAUCGGAGAGGCAAUCCUUACGGCGUCCGUUGACUUGCUGGUCAAUAAGUUAGCUUCAGAGGGGAUUCUGUUUUUUGCACGCCAAGAGAAGAUCCAAGACGAUCUAAUGGAGUGGGAGAAUAUGUUGGAGAUGAUCAAGGCGGUGCUUGAUGAUGCUGAGGAGAAGAAGACGACUAAUCGGUUUGUGAAGAAGUGGCUUGGCAAGCUUCAGAACUUGGCUUAUGAUGUUGAAGAUUUGUUGGAUCAGUUUCAAACUGAGGCUUUCCGGAGGAAGUUGGUGCUCGGAAAUAGAGAACCAGCUGCUGCUCAUGAUCAACCCAGUAGCAGUCGUACAAGAACACGUAAGUUUAGGAAGCUCAUUCCUGCUUGCUGCACCACUUUUACUCCACAAUCGAUUCAGUUCGAUUAUGGCUUGAUGCCCAAAAUCAAAGAGAUCAACAGCAGAUUUCAAGAAAUUGUGACACAGAAAAACUCGCUGGGUUUGAACGUAAGUUCAGCGGGGAGGAGCACAGAAGACAGGCAAAGACGAGAGACAACCUCUUUGGUGAAUGAAGCCAAAGUAUAUGGCAGGGAAACAGAAAAGAAGGAAAUUGUUGAAUUGUUGUUGAAGGAUGAUUCAAGAAAUGAUGGUGGAUUCUCUGUUAUUUCUAUUACAGGUAUGGGCGGGCUGGGUAAAACCACUCUUGCUCAGCUUGUCUACAAUGAUAAGCAAGUGGAGGACCAUUUUGAUCUCAAGGCAUGGACUUGCGUCUCUGAUGAUUUUGAUCUUAUCAGGCUUACAAAAUCAAUCCUACUUUCAAUUGCUAGUGACCAGAAAGUGGAUGAUCACGACUUGAAUAAGCUUCAAGAGGAGCUGAAGAAGAAGUUAUCUCAAAAGAAAUUUUUGCUUGUUUUAGACGACGUUUGGAAUGAGAAUUACAAUGACUGGGUUGACAUGAGCCGUCCGUUUGAAGCUGGCGCACAGGGAAGUAAGAUUGUUGUCACUACUCGCAAUCAACAGGUUGCAAAAAUCAUGAGGCCGGAUCAAGCUUAUGAAUUGAAAAACUUGUCCACUGAGGAUUGUCUGUCUGUGUUUGCUCAGCACUCUUUGGGGACAAGAGAUUUCAGUUCACACAAGUCAUUGGAGGACAUUGGCAAGAAGAUAGUGAUCAAAUGCAAUGGCUUGCCCUUGGCAGCAAAAACACUGGGAGGACUUUUAUGUGGAGAACAUGACAGAGGUGUGUGGGAAGAUGUGCUCGGUAGCAAGAUAUGGGAAUUACCAGAAGAUAGAUGUGGCAUUAUACCAGCCCUUGCAGUGAGCUAUUAUUAUCUUCCUCCAAUUUUGAAACAAUGCUUUGCAUACUGCUCGUUGUUUCCGAAGGAUUAUGAAUUUGAAGAGGAGGAGAUAAUUUUAUUAUGGAGUGCUUCAGGUUUCUUGGAUCAUAAAGAGAGUGGGAAUCCCAACGAAGAUCUAGGUCGAAAGUUCUUUCAAGAGCUACGUUCAAGAUCUUUUUUCCAGCAAUCAAGCAACAAUACAUCACGAUUUGUGAUGCACGAUCUUAUCAAUGACCUUGCUCAAUGGGCUGCGGGGGAGAUAUACUUCACAAUGGAGUAUACCUCAGAGGUUAACAAGCAACAAAGUUUUUCCAGAAAUCUUCGUCAUCUGUCAUACAUUACUGAAUAUUAUGAUGGCGGUAAAAGGUUUGGGGACUUGUAUGAUAUCCAACAUUUGAGAACUUUUUUACCAGUAAUGUUGACAAAAAGUUCGCCUGGCUACUUGGCUCCUAGCAUUCUUCCUAAGUUGCUCAAACUCCGACGCUUGAGGGUCUUCUCUUUGCGUGGAUACCGCAUCCCUGAGCUGCCGGAUUCAGUUGGUGAUUUGAGGUAUUUAAAGUACCUUAACCUAUCUGGAACUCAGAUUAGAGCUCUGCCUGAAUCAGUCAACAAGCUUUACAAUUUGCAUAGUCUUUUGUUGGAAGAUUGUGAUCGGCUGAAGAAGUUGUGUGCAGACAUGGGAAACCUCGCCAAAUUGCAUCAUCUUAAGAAUUCAAAUACGAAGUCGUUGGAGGAAAUGCCAGUAGGAAUUGGUAGGUUGACUAGUCUUCAGACGUUGUGUAAUUUUGUUGUGGGAAAAGGUAGUGGUUCCGGGUUACGAGAGCUAAAGUUGUUGACGCACCUUCAUGGGACACUUAACAUUUCAAAAUUGGAGAAUGUAAAAGACGUUGGUGAUGCAAAGGAGGCUCAAUUGGAUGGAAAGAAGAAUCUUACAGAAUUAUUGCUUGGAUGGACACUCAGUACCGAUGGCUCGUCUUCAAGGGAGGCGGAAAUUGAAAAGGAUGUGCUUGACAUGCUACAACCCCAUAAAAAUUUGGAACAAUUUUGUAUCAGCGGCUAUAGAGGUGCAAAAUUUCCAACUUGGUUCGGAGAUUCCUCAUUCUCAAAUUUGGUGACCUUAAAAUUUGAAUAUUGUGGCAUGUGUCCUACCCUGCCAUCAGUCGGCCAACUACCCUCUCUAAAGCAUCUUGCAGUAUGUGGAAUGGCUAGUGUAAAGAGGUUGGAUUCAGAGUUCUAUGGGAAUGAUACUCCAAUUCCUUUUCCAUGCUUGGAGACUCUUCAUUUUGAAGACAUGCAAGGAUGGGAAGACUGGAUUCCUCAUGGAUCCAGUCAGGGAGUUGAAGGGUUUCCUAAAUUGAGAGAGCUUCACAUUUUAAGAUGUUCUAAGCUACAAGGAACAUUUCCAGAGCACCUUCUUGCAUUGGAGAAGCUUGUUAUUGAAGGAUGUGAAGAAUUGUCAGUUUCAAUUUCGAGUCUUCCAGCUCUUUGCAAAUUCAUAAUUGGUGGAUGUAAAAAGGUUGUGUGGAGAAGUGCAACUGAUCAUCUCGGCUCACAGAAUUCAGUGGUUUGUAGAGAUACAUCAAAUCAAGUGUUUCUCGCAGGGCCAUUAAAGCCACAACUACCGAAAUUGGAAGAAUUAAUUUUGUCGACAAAAGAGCAAACAUAUAUAUGGAAGAGUCAUGACGGAUUACUACAAGACAUUUGCUCUCUCAAAAGUCUAGAGAUAAGAAGCUGUCCCAAACUUCAAUCCUUGGUGGCGGAGGAAGAGAAAGAAGGCCUUGUGAAGCUGCCACAAUCAUCGCUCAGCCUCAGUUCCUUGAGAGAGAUAGAAAUCUACAAGUGCAGUUCCCUUGUUUCCUUUCCUGAGGUUGCUCUGCCUUCCAAGUUGAAGAAAAUUCAGAUUAGAGAAUGUGAUGCACUGAAAUCGUUACCACAGGCAUGGAUGUGCGACAACAAUUCCUCUCUCGAGAUCUUGAAGAUUUGGGAUUGCCAUUCGUUGACAUAUAUUGCUGGAGUCCAGCUACCACCGAGCCUUAAGAGGUUGGAGAUCUACCUUUGUUAUAAUCUAAGGACUUUGACAGUGGAAGAGGGCAUCCAGUGUAGCAGCAGCAGAAGGUACGCCUCAUCUCUUCUCGAGGAGUUGGAAAUUAGUGGUUGUCUAUCACUGACAUGUAUAUUUUCAAAAAACGAGUUACCUGCCACGCUUGAGUCCCUUGAAGUUGGCAAUCUACCUCCGUCUCUUAAGUCCCUUCGUGUUGGUGGAUGUUCAAAGCUGGAGUCAAUAGCAGAAAGGUUGGACAACAACACAUCUCUUGAAACAAUCGCAGUUAGUUUUUGUAGAAAUCUGAAAAUUUUACCGAGUGGUUUACAUAAUCUCCGCCAGCUUCAAGAGAUAGGGAUAUGGGAAUGUGAUCUGGUGUCCUUUCCCCAAGGGGGAUUGCCUUGUGCGAAACUCAUGAGGCUGGAGAUAUCUUAUUGUAAGAGACUACAGGUCUUACCCAAGGGAUUGCACAAUCUGACCUCUCUUCAACAAUUAAGAAUAGGAAAAGGAGUUGAGCUUCCAAGCCUUGAAGAAGAUGGCCUUCCCACCAACCUUCAUUCACUGGAGAUUAAUAGUAAUAAGGAGAUUUGGAAGUCAAUGAUUGAGCGGGGUCGGGGAUUUCACAGAUUCUCCUCUCUGCGACAACUUACAAUCAUUAAUUGUGAUGACGUGGUGUCAUUCCCACUAAAGGCAGAUGACAAAGGAUCGGGGACCACGCUUCCUCUUCCUGCCUCUCUAACAACUCUGUGGAUUUUCAAUUUUCCAAAUCUGGAACGCCUAUCUUCUUCAAUUGUUGAUCUUCAAUACCUCACUUCAUUGUAUCUCUUGGAAUGUCCCAAGCUCAAAUACUUUCCGGAGAAGGGCCUGCCUUCCUCACUUUUGCUAUUAAUUAUCUGGGAAUGUCCGUUGAUAGUAGAGAAGUGCAGAAAGGAUGGAGGACAAUAUUGGGACUUGUUAACCCAUAUACCGCGCGUUGAAAUAGAUGGUAAAUCCGUUUUUGGCGAUAACACAUAGGACGGCUGAAAUAUUUUAUUAUUAGUAUUUUCUUUUUUUUUUCUUUUUUUAAAUUGAGUGUGUUUGUGUAUGUAAUUUUAAAAUUCAAAUCUCAGUUGAAAACUAUUUUAAAUUAAUAUGGCUCGGUAUCGGUGAGUUUUUAUCAUGUAUAUGAUGAGCAUUCGAAUUUUUUUUUAUUAAAUAGUAGAAUGCUUUUUAAAAAAAUGGCAGAAUAGCGCAAUUGCAUUAUUUAGCAGAGACGGACCUUUUAAUGUAUUAAUUAAUUCAGCAUAGGAGGAGCUUGGGAAAAGUUGGUUUGAAAUUUUACCGACUGGACAUAGAAAUAUUCGAGUGUUCUUAAUUUAUUAGAAUAGAUUAGCAUUAUCCAUUGGUCUAUGUAUAAUCUAACCUGCGAAGUGUUAAUUUAGUGAUUAUUGAAUAUUAUAUUUGAAAGUUAUUUACAUUUUGUGUAUGUGUGUGUAUCUAUAUAGAUAUAUAUUUAUAUACAUCUAUCAUUUGAAAUUAAAAUCGGUCGUAUACAAGCCCAAUUUGAGGAGGAUUUGCUGAUUAAUUGGCUGGCAGAGCGUAGUAGUUGAUUAGUAUGUUGUUGUACUACAACGACGCUUACAAAUACCAAUUGAUCACUUAACUGCCUUCCUCACUUUUGCAAUUAUGGAUCUCGGAAUGUCCGUUGAUGAAAGAGAAGUGCAGAAAGGAUAGAGGACAAUAUGGGGACUUCUUAUGUCUGUAUAGAUUUUAAAUGGGUUUUUGAUGACUGAACAGAGGACGACUGAAAUAUUUUAUUUAAUUUUUUUUUUCAAUUGGGUGCGUUUGUGAAUGUAAUUUUCAAGUCCUAGUGGAAUUUUUUUUUUCAAUUGGGUGCGUUUGUGAAAUUGGGUGCGUUUGUGAAUGUAAUUUUCAAGUCCUAGUGGAAAAUUAUUUUAAAUUAAUGUGGUUCGGUGUAGGCGAGUUUUUAUCAUGUAAAUGGGUUUUCGAAUUUUUAUUAAAUAAUAGACUACGUUUUUUUAAAUAAAAGUGGUAGAAAGUAAUGAAUUAAUUUCUUAUUGAGUGUAAAUGUGUAAUUAAUUUCUUAUUGAAACUUCGUUUUUCUUUGACUUAUCCUUCUGCUGUGCCUGUACGGUUAAAUAGAUGUAACAUUUCUUUUCACCAGACUUUUUGCCUUCGGCAAAAUUUGUUUUUACAUCUUACAUGUUAGAUAUAUAAAUGGGGUUUUGAUGGCAGAACAGAGAAUGACUGAAGUAUUUUAUUAUUAGUAGUUUUUUUUAAAACAAAUCGGGUGUGUUUGUGUAUGUAAUUUUAAAUCUCAGUUGAAAACUAUUUUAAAUUAAUAUGGUUCGGUGUCGGUGAGUCUUUAUCAUGUAUAUAAUGGGUUUUCGAAUUAAACAAUAAAAUGCCUUUUUUUUCAAAGAAAAAAGUCAGUUUGCAUUAUUCAGCUGUUGGUUUUAUCUAUCCUUCUGCGGUACGAUUAUAUAUAUGUGCGUGCGCGUGUUUUUUUAUAUAUAUAUAUUCUAUUAUUUUAGUUGUUGGAUAUAUAUAUUCUCGAGUGCUCUUUCUUAUUAAAAUAGUAUGAUUCGACAUAAUUAAUAUAAUUGAAAAUCAAAUUCUUAUGACUGGAUUCACUAGAUCAUCAUUAUUUCGACCAUUUAUAAUCUGACUUGUGAAUUGUUAGUAUGGUGAUUAUUUUAAAUAUUUUAUAUUUCAAAGUCAUUUACAUUUUUUGUGUCUGUGCGUGUAUAUUUGAAAUUACUUUGAUCAUGUAGAGGAAUAAUUUGAGUAAAUUAAAUUUGAUUAAUUAAUAGUAAAUCGAGUAUGAUUUAUUAAAAUAUUUAUACUCUUUAAAUUAAUUCAUUAUAGGCGAGUCCUUGAAUUAAUUGUUUAUAUGCCACCGCUAUUAAUAUUUAUAAAUACAAUUUAUCAGUUAUUGAAUAUUUAGAUUCAUUAAAAUUGUUAUAAUUCAUAUAGAUCUUUCUAUUAACACAUCAAUAUGACAGAAGGAAUGUCUUCAUCAAUUGCAAUGUGAUUUUUUUUUUUUUAAAAUGCAUAAUAUAUGCCAUAGAAAAAAGCUUUUUCUUUUUAAUUUUUCAUUAAAAAUAAACCAAGAGUAUUAAUUUCUUUUACAAAAUUAGGAACCGGAUUUAUAAAAAGCACCUUAUUGUUGUUAAUACAUACAACCAUCCUCAAAAACCCAUCAAAAAACAAUAAACAGCACAUCUAAAGAGAAGCAUCAUACAACAAAACCAAGAAAACAUCACAACACAAAUGGCACAUCAAGCAAAGCAAGCACUUCUUUCUUUAAUCAAUUACAUUUGAGCCUUGGUGGCCUUACUAUCUUCACCGGAAGAAUUACCAGACUCUUCAUCAAUGUUAAUAACCUUGGGCUGCCUCUUCUUCUCCUCAGCAAGCUUUGGCACUGUGAUCCUCAGAACACCAUUUUCCAAAUGAGCCUUAAGAUGAUCAUUUGGAAAGUAAUGAAUUAAUUUCUUAUUAAAACUUCGUUUUUCUUGACUUAUCCUUCUGCUGCGCCUGUACGGUUAUAUACAUAUAACAUUUCUCUUCACCAGACUUUGCCUUCGGUAAAAUUUGUUUUGAAAUCUUACCUGUUAGAUAUAUAAAUGCUCGAGCGUUCUUUAUUAAAAUGGCAUUAUUUCGUCUGGGUAUAAUCUACCUUGUGAAUUGUUGUUUAGUGAUUAUUUCAAAUAUUUUAUAUACAAAAAUUAUUUACAUUUUGUGUGUGUGUCUGUGUGCAUAUAUGAUGAAAUUAAAAUUAUUUUGAUAGGGUGCGAGAGUAAUUUCAGGAUCAUUGGGAGGAUUUGCUCAUCAUACCUUAGGUAUGUGGCUUUUGAUGGCUGAAAUAUUUUAUUAGCAGUAUUCUUUUUUUUUUUUUAAAUCGGGUGUGUUUGUGUAUGUAAUUUUAAAAUUCAAAUCUCAGUUGAACAAUAUUUUAAAUUAAUAUGGUUCGAUGUCGGUGGUUAAUGGGUUUUGGAAACAAAAGGAAAAGCGGUGAGUAGAACAAUUGUUUAAUUUGAUUUAAUUGUUUCCGUGUCAUUGCUAUUAAUAUUUAUAAAUAGAAUUUAUCAGUUAUUGAAUAUUUAAAUUCAUCAAAACUGUUAUAAUUGCAAUGAAUCUUCGCAUUAACAAAUCAAUAUGAAAUAAGAGGGAAUAUCUUUAGAAAUUGGGGUAGUAUUUUUUUUUUUAGCUUAAAAUCCAUAAUAAGUUCUAGAGAAAAAGAUUUUUUUUUUAAUUUUUAUUAAUAAAAACCAAGCUCAUUAUUUCUUUUAGGGAGAUUGCCAAUUUCCCCCCUACAGUAAUCAACAUAUACCAUUUCCUCCUGCUGUUUUUAUAAUGGCCAAAAACCCCCCUAAUAGCAUAAGUUUGCAAAAAUGGCCAAAAAUUCCUCUGAUAGUAUAAGUUUACAAUAUUACCCUUAUUUUCAACUACUCUUUUAUUUACAUUUAUUAUAAAUUAAAUAAAUCACAUGAUAGAAAUUAAAUAAAAAAUUAAGCAUUAAAAAUAAGGAAAUAUAUGUUUUGAUAUGAGAAAAAAAUUAAUAAUAAAAAUUUUUUCUUGUACUUAUUUAUUUUGUGCAUAUUUUUCUUAUAAUAAAUAUAUAAGAAAGUUAUUAUAAAAUGAUAAAAAAAUUAUUAUAAGAAAAUUUGAAUGACAAAUAAAAAUUUAUUAUAAGAUAAAUAAUCAAAUAUUUUGCCUAUACUUUUUACAUUUAAUUUUAAAAUAUUACAAAAUGUUUAUUAUAAGAAAAUGUUCACAAAAUAAAUUAUUACAAAAAAAAUUAUUAUUAAUUUUUUUGCUCAUAUCAAAACAUAUAUUUCUUGUUUUUAAUACUUAAUUUUUUUAUUUAAUUUCUAUUCAUGUAAUUUAUUUAAUUUAUAAUAAAUGUAAAUAAAAAAGUAAUUAAAAAUAAGGGUAAUAUUGUAAACUUAUGUUGUCAGGGGAGUUUUAUGCCAUUAUAAAAACAGAAGGGGGACAAAUGAUAUAUAUUAAUUACUGUAGGGGGAAAGUGAGAAUCCCCUUUCUUUUACUACUGACUGUAGGACCAUGAUUUAUAAAACGCACUUUAUUGUUGUUAAUAUAAUAAACAAAACAUCCAAAGAGAAACAUCCCACAAGAAAAUCAAGAAAAGAUCAUAAGCAAACAGUACAUCAAGCAAAGCAAACAUUUUUUUUAUUUGAUUAAUUACAACUAAGCUUUGGUAGUCGCUUCGUCAAACUUUGGCAAAUAUUGUUUUAAAAUUUUACAUGUUGGAUAUAUAAAUGUUCGAGUGGCCUUUAUUAAAAUAGCAUAAAUUAACAUAAUAAUAUAAAUGAAAAUUAGAUUUGCUAAAUUAUCAUUAUUUCGUCAAUGUACAAUCUCUCUCUCUAUAUAUAUAGACACACACAUAAAUACGAUGAAAUUGAAAUUAUUUUAAUCGUGUACAAGAGCAAUCUCAUUAAUUUGCUGGUAGAGCUUGGUCCGUUGGCGUUCUUUCUAUAAUUGUAUAGGUCCGCUUUAUAAUAACAAUGAUGUUAACAAAUACCAAAGCAAAUUAAAUUUGAUUAAUUAAUAGUAAACCGACCAUGAUUUACUAAAAGCACUUUACUACACGAUCUUUGUAUGUGUACACCAUCAUCAAAAAAUAGAAAAUCAAAGGAGAAAACAAUAUCCCGCGAGAAAGCCAAUUAAUUAAAAAUUCAAAACUGUACCCAAAAGAAAAUAGAAGAUGACAAGCAGCUCUAACUAACGCGGGGGAUGCAUGCAUAUUAAUAUUUCAAAACAGAACUAUCUUACAUCAUUUAGUGAUUAGUGAUGCAGAUGUUUGAUAGAAUGAAUCAGGUUUCUGCUGAAAUGUCUCAAGGAAGGACCCUCAAGUAUUCAUCAUCUCAGCAAGUGACUCAGCACAUGAGAAUGAGAUGAACUUUCAAGAAUCACCACGAUAAAAUAAGAUCAAGGAUGCUACGAGGACAAACAAAGAUGGCGGCUGUAGCUUUUGAUGGUACGCAUGUUACAGCGCUAUAUUAAACAAAUGUAAACUGUCAGAUAAAAGUUUUGUAUAUAUAGAUUCAAAAUGAAUGAAACAUUGCUGUGAUGUGCGUGCAUUAUUCUGUCAUUUUGUUUUCAUUACAUCUUAUUGAUUCUUGAUCGAUUGAACUCAAUCUAAAACCACCAAGAUCUGGUUGAUCUCUCUAAUUGGUGAUAUAGAAAUGAUAAACAAAUCACACACCUCACAAGAAUAAGAAGGCACAAUUUAAGUGGCACAUUUUGGAGAUAGCAUAUAUCCGCUGAAGGACGGAGUAAUAAUCUUAUUUCAAUCACCAAGAACAAGCUACAAACAUUAAGAAGUUAGGAGCUUUUCAUAUGGCCCAACUAUAGCCUCUAAGACCAUAUAUACAGAUGAUGAAGAAUCUAGAAACGUCCCCCACUCACCAGCUGCCUUCUGGGUUUGUUGAAACAAACCCAGAAUUUUCCCACCUUAUAACGGUCAGUUAACAACCUUGAAUCACGUGCUUAACUCGUGCUUCACUAAGUGACCAAAACAACUGCCAAUUCCGUCUAAAGUAUGUCAAAUCACAUGAAGAACAUGUGAUUCACUUACUGGAAGUAAAAGACAAUACACAGAUGUCACAUUCUCCUGUUUCAUCCAGAAACUGACAGGGCAUGCACAAUUAAGGAUACAAACCGACAUGUCAGAAAAUUCUAAAACUCAUUUUUAAGCUCACAAUUCAACACAUCUCUUUUAAGAUCCUUUUGAAUAAUUUUCAGUUUUCUGACAAAUGCAACAUAAUAUGGUCAUGUCCUACUUAAUAACACAAAGCAUAAAUGCAGCUCUUAUAUUUUUCAUAAGCCAAAGUUGUUGAACAUAUAAAUACUCAUGUAUUCAGUGUUCUUUAUUAAAUUAGCAUGAUUGAACAUAAUUAAAAUGAAAAUCGGAUAAUUAUGAUGAUUGUAUUAGUUAGCCAGAUUGGUGUCAUUUUGUCUAAUUAUCAAGGAGAACAUUCAAUUAUAUAUAAUAUUUCCUUUGCAUUUUCUCUUUUAAUUAAAAUCAUAAAAAGACUUGCAAUAUAGACCAUGUAUCUAUUAUGGUCUUAAUCUGAAUCAACCUGGAAAGAAGAAUUUGGCUUCCGUAAAUAAGAAUUUCUUAAAACAAAAAAGCUAACAGAUAACCAAUCAGAAUGAACCUUGAAACCCGUCUUAUGGCUUAAAUCAGACAAAAUAGAAAUCUCCUCUUGCAAUAGCAUAUUUGAGUCAAGUAGCCGCAAUAAUGAAAAGCAAUCACCGAAUGUGAAGGAAGAACAUUUCCGGCUGGGAGGCUGGAGAGCUCACAGUCAUCGGAUAUAUCCAAGAGAAGACGAGAUCCAACUUCUCUUGUUAGUAUUAUUAAUUAAUUAGUAUAAAUUAGCUGAAUGUUCAAUGCUCAUGCACUUUUGGGUGAAUUUGUGUGAUUGUUGUGGCGUAAUAUGACACUAUUCAAUCAAGCCACUCUGCUUUUCAGUGAUAGACACAAAUGAGAUUAGUGCAAAUGAUAUAAUUGAAAUACCAAGAUUAUAUUCCCAUCAUAAUUAACAACUAAUUUUCAGUUUCUUGUGUCAAUUUCUUAUUCAAUAUAUAUAAUGUUAAUUUUACUGUAUUUUGCACCUUUGUGAUAUUUUAUUAAACCAACAACAACGCAAGAAAAUUUGACAAAAGUACUGCCAAGAUUCUCAUCAUCUGAAUUUUAGAUACCAAACAUCAUAUGUAAAUCAACAAUCCCAAACUAACUAAAAGGAUACCCAUUAGAUAGAAAUUCACAAAAACCGAUUAUAUCUUCUCCUCAGCAGCUGAAUCCUUCUAAGUGCUCAACGAUGACACAAUGCACAAUUCGAUGGGUGGUUGCAUGAUCGGGAAGUCUUGCUUUGUACUUUUUUCAUCAGUCUUUGUCAAAGAUCGUUUUGUAAUUAAUUUCAUAAGCUGAGUGUAUAUAAAUGCUAGAGUGUUCUUCAUUUAAAUAGCAUGAUUGAAUACAAUUAAUAUAAUGGAAAUCAAAUUAUAAUCAUCGAAUUUUUUAGAUUAGCAUUAUUUCAUCUUUGUAUAAUCUAACUUGAGACAAUCAAUAUUUAUACUGAUUUCGUCCCUUUGAUCGUGACUUUGAUGGUUACUUUUAAAAAUUCUCUUCACCUACCGAUUUCAUUUAACAAAAAUUUUACAUACAAUACAACUUUACAAAGAAUUAAAUAAAACCAAACGAAAUAUCAAGGCUGUUCACGAAUUGCCUUCCUAUGGUUCCACAGCCAAGCAAGUCCUUAUAUACAACUAAAAGUCAAUUUGAUUCUUUGACUAAUAAGAACUGCCAGUUUGAACUAAGGGCCAGUGAGCUUAGGAUUAUUGCUAAAACAUGAGUUCUAUGUUCUAUCAUGCAUUUUCUAUACUAUGAAUUGUUUGAGCUUAUAAACUAAGACAUCAAAACAAAGAUUCUGUUCUAGCUACUGUUUUUCACUUUAGAUUUAGGAUUGAUGUUCAGCUUUAUCUUUUAGGGCCUGUGACAUCCCAAUACACACACACACAUAUUGUAUAUGACCAAGCUACUUAGUGGGGAUGGCCAUAAAAUAGACGUAAAAAUGGAUGGCCAUCUGAUUCCCCAUGAGUACAGAAAAAUUAAAUAUGAAACUCCAAUACCGUCAAUUCUGCGUUUUAAUUUUAAGUUGACGUAUAAUGAAACGACAGGCUCAUGUGAUUUAAUUUUGUAUAUUCAAAACUAUUAAUGGCGGUGAGGCCUGGUUUUAUUUACACUUUGGUGGAAUAAAGUGAAGCUUGCUAAAUUACUGGUGAUUGGAUUUUUUUUUUAUUUUUUUUUUGCACUUUAGAGUGAUUUCAAUUGUGUCUAUUUGUUAGACAACAUAUUACAUGAAUAAAGUAAAAUAUUUCUAAAAAGAAACGUUUUUGGAGUUUAAAAAGAAAGAGUGAGAGAGAAACGUUUUGAUUUAACUUGGUAUUUGAGAUGAAGAUCUGUAAAGUGAAGGUUCUAGGUAAUAGACACUGGAUUAACUGCUUGACAUACGAAUACCUAAUGGAAUUUCGUAACAAGUGGUGGUGAUUGAUUGGUGAAUUGCUAAAUUAUUAAUGGGUGGUGGGCUCUGUUUUUCUUUUCUUAGCUGCAAGGAACAACAAGUGGGGAGACUUGCCUCAUUUUACGUCGUAUCUUGCUUGACCCUUGACACUUACUAAGCAUUUUCGUUUGGGUAAUUUUUUAAAACCUCUCCUGAGGUUUGGGCUUAUUGUAAGUAGAUGGCGAGAAUCUAUUUAUUUGUAAAAAAACCCCUACCGUUAGUUAUUUUUAACAUUAACCGUUAAUUGACUGUGCAAAGACAAUAUUACCCUUAACAACAGUUUGUAGACGGAAUUAACAAAAAAAAAAAACUAAAAUUGUUGGCUAUUUUACCCUCUUUAAAUUAUUGAUAUUUUCUUAAAGUUCCUACAAGAAAGAUAAAAUUAAAAACUUAAAAAAUCCUCUUUAAAUUAUUGAUAUUUCCUUAAAGUUCCUACAAGAAAGAUAAAAUUAAAAACUUAAAAAAUCCUCUUUAAAUUAUUGAUAUUUCCUUAAAGUUCCUACAAGAAAGAUAAAAUUAAAAACUUAAAAAAUCCUCUUUAAAUUAUUGAUAUUUCCUUAAAGUUCCUACAAGAAAGAUAAAAUUAAAAACUUGAAAAUAAAAUAGUCAUAAUCUUUACCUGUGAUAUUGUAAAUUUUUGGAAGGGUAAUUUUCAAAAACCUCCCCUGAGGUUUGGGCUUGUUGUAAGUAGAUGGCGACAAUCUGUUUCGUUUUGCUUACCAAGUGCUGGUGAUGGGUUAAUUGCCAAAUUAUUAGUCAUUGGUCACUGAAGUAUCAGCGCGUGAUUUCUACUAAGCUUGCUGGACCAGACCCGUCACAGUCGCAAAUUCAUUCUGCUUAAUUAUCCAUUUUCUCAUCUGUUCAAUUUUCUCAUUCUGCUUUCCAAAACUCAUAAUUCUGUUCCUUUCUUUCUUUGCCCCCAAAAAAAUUAAAAAAAAAAUAAAAUAAAUGUCAGGUUAAUUUUUCUUUUCAAAGAUUUCAGGUAAAAAAGAUUCUUAAAAUUAAUUUUCGAUGGUGGUUGUUGUUACUUUCAUUUUGUGCUGGAUGCGCCUAUAAAGAAGCCAACCGAUAUUGCCAAUUUGUGUAUUUGAUGACAUUCAACAAGCUUUUACUGCCUCUUCAGCAAUGUCAAUAACCGAAACAAAGUUAAAUCAAACUUUGAAUUAAAAUCUUUAAUAUAUAUAUAUAUAUAUAUAUAUAUAUAUCUUUUUUUUGUACAUUGAUUGAACUUCAUUCUUCAUUGAAAAUUAUGACAUGUUAAUUUAAUGAAUUAAUCACCACAAUUAGUAAAUAUUAAUACUUCAAGUUAACUUAAUGAAUAAGUCUUACAAAUACAUCUUACAUAAAUUAUAAAUACUAAGCGUAACUUCUCCUUAAUACCGCCCAAUAAUCUGAUGCUAGUGAUCUUUUUAUAAAUCAUUACUGAUAUAUUUAAUUAUUUACAAUUAAAGUAUUAUUGGGACCAAUUUACCAAAAAAAAAAAAUACAAUCAAAGAAUUACAACUUUUCUAUUUAUUUCACUGUUACUUAAUUCCAUAAAAUGGUUCAAAAUAAUUCCAAAACUCAUAAUUAUGUUCCUUUCUUCCCCCCCCCCCCCCCCNNNNNNNNNNNNNNNNNNNNNNNNNNNNNNNNNNNNNNNNNNNNNNNNNNNNNNNNNNNNNNNNNNNNNNNNNNNNNNNNNNNNNNNNNNNNNNNNNNNNNNNNNNNNNNNNNNNNNNNNNNNNNNNNNNNNNNNNNNNNNNNNNNNNNNNNNNNNNNNNNNNNNNNNNNNNNNNNNNNNNNNNNNNNNNNCUGCUGUACGGCCAAGGCGGAUGUACGGUACAGCAGCCUGUUAAUCAUUACUCCGAUCCCGAAGGCCAACAGAAUAGGACCGAAAUCCUAUGAUGUUAUCCCAUGCUAAUGUAUACAGAGCGUAGUGUUACGGUCCGCCCAAUUCGCUAGCCCAAUUGCCCAUAAUUUCGGGCUAGAGAGCCAACACAAGGCCAAGAGUGCUAGCUUGGCCCAAUUCCGGAACAUUCUAGGCAACUCUAGCACAUGAGCUUGUAAAUACUCUAGAAUUCUCCAUAGAAUUCCAGCACAUGUAAAUAGCUAGGAAAUGGUAGAAUUCUCUAGAAUCUCUAGAACUUGGCAAGCCUCCCCUAUAAAUAUGGGAUGGCAUUAGGCAUUUGUAUCCAACAAACACAACAACAAGCUUUGUAAGCAACUCAAGCAUUGUAAUCUCUCUUUGUGCAAUACAAGUUUUCUCAUUCGGCUCCAUUGCUCUCUUCUCUAGUUCGAGAAGCUAUAGGCUUACUUAGCAACAUUCGGCAAAGUUGUCUAAGUGCCGCACGGGUUAGCUGCGCAAGAUACUCAUCCCGUGACAACUAGCUUAUUAAACAGAGGUUGAGAGCAGCUCUAACGAAUGCAGGGGAUGCAUGCAUAUUAAUAUUUCUCAUCAAAUCAUCACCCAUUGUGCUUUGAGACUAAGAAAAUCUAUGGUGAUUGAUUUUUCAAAACAGAACUAUCUUACAUCAUUUAAUGAUUAGUGAUGCAAAUGUUUGAUAGAAUGAAUCAAGGGACUCAACACGAGAGAAUGAGAAGAGCUCUCAAGAACCACCAGGAUAACAUAAGAUCAAGGAUGCCACGAGGACAAUCAAAGAUGGCUACUGUAGCUUUUGCAGUACAUCUGUUAUAGCCGUUAGAUGAAACAAACAUAAACCAUCUGAUACAAGUUUUGUAUAUAUAGAUUCAAAAUGAAUGAAACAUUGCUAUGGUGUGCGUGCAUUAGUCUCUUAUAUUGUUUUCAUUGCAUCUUGUUGAUUCUUGAGCGAUUAAACUCAUUCUAAAACCAGCAAGAUCUCACUAAACUCUCUAAUUGAUGAUUUACAAAUGACAAGCAAAUCACACACCUCACAAGAAUAACAACUGAAACAAGCAAAACAGAGGCACAAUUUAAGUGGUUCCGCUUGGAGAUAGCCGAUAUCAAGUGAAGAACAGGGCAGCAAUCUUAUCUCCAUCACCGAGAUCAAACUACAAGCAUUAAGAAGAAGUUACAAGCUUUUCAUAUGUCUCAACUGUAGCCUCUAAGACUAUAUAUACAGAUCAUGAAGAAUCUAGAAAGUUCCCCCCACUCACAAGCUGCAACAAACCCAGAAUUUUCCCGCCUUGUAAAGGUCAAUGAACAACCUUGAAUGACGUUCUUAAUUGGUGCUUCAAUAAGUGACAAAAACGACUGCCAAAUGUGCCGUAUAGGGUAAAUGAAAUCACGUGAAGAACAUGUGAUCCAGACGACAAUACACAGCUGUCAUAUUCUUGUGUUCUGUCCAAUAACUGACAGCGCAUGCACAAUCAGGGCUAUCAACCGACACGUCAGCAAUGUCUAAAACUCGCGAUUCAACACCUGUUUUCAGAUUUUUUUUCAAUAAUUUUCAGUUUUCUGACAAAUGCAAAGUAUGAAAGUAAUAUGAUCAUGUCCUGCUUAAUAACACAAAGCAUAAAUGCAGCUCUAAUACUUUUCUAACUUAGCCAAAGUUGUUGAAGAUAUAAGUACUUUUAAGUGCUCAGUAAUCUUUAUUAAAUUAGCAUGAUUGGACAUAAUUAAAAAAUGAAAAUUGAAUCAUUAUGAUGAUUGAAUUAGGUAGUUUGAUUGGUGUUAUUUUGUCUAAUUAUCAAGGAGAACAUUCAAUUAUAUACAAUAUGUCCUUCCUAUUUUCUCUUUUAAUUAAAUCAUAAAAAGACUUGCAAUAUUGAUUAUGUAUCUGUUAUGUUGGUUAUUGAAGUGAAUUAUAGUUGUUUUCGUGAUUGUCAAAUAUUGUCUUUGUAACUUAUUUAUUUUUUAUUUAUGAAAUCAAUGGGGAUUUUGCUCUUAUUGAUGGAUGUUGCUGGGUACUAAGAACUGAUGGUCGUAUUAAUUAAUCAGUAUAAGUUAGUUGAAAGUUCAAUGUUCAUGCACUUUUGAGCUACAUAAGGCAAGGAAAAUUGAGUGACUUUAUGUGAUGUAAUGUGACACUAUUCAAUUAAGCAACUCUACUUUUUAGUGAUGGACACAAAUGAAACUAGUGGACUUGCAUUAGCUAGAUGAUAAUUAAAAGGCCAAGAUUAUAUCUUUAACACCCCAGUCCGAAAUCCAAGGGCAAAUAUGUCCACAACUCACAUAUGAUUUAAAUAACUCUUUACAAACAAUAAAAUCCGAGCUUCAAAUACAAAAGCCAGCGGAAUAACUUAAAAAUUUAGCCAAACCAUCUACCAUCUUUAACUUGUCACUCAUCACGAAUCAAUCCUGGCUUCUGGAAACUGAAUCACAAUAAACUAUAAUGAGUACAAAACUCAGUAAGCAAACUAGUUUUUCUUAUAGAAAAUACAUACAUACUUAUACAUAAUGCAAUGGAUGAUAUGCCAUGAUCUUUUGGAAAUACUGUAAAAUAAAUUCAAAAAAAUCUCUUUCUGUCACUUUCAAACUUUCUCAUUUUCUUUCGAUGAAAUAUGUAUCCUGCAAUGUGGCACUUUGUGCUGUGCGUGGCACUUUGCACCAUGCGUGGCACUUUGCGGCGCUCUGGCCCUCAAGAGGUGGCCCCCGCAUAGUCUCAAGAGGUGGCCCCCACACAACUUCAAGAGGUGGCCCCCAAUGCAAAAUCUCAUAAAACAGAAAUUCCGUUUGCUAAAAUCCACUUUCUCAUUCAUAGAAAACUCAAUGCAUUUUCGUGCUCAUGCCAAUGAACCAUCACACAUACAUAUGCCCAUGUACAUAAUCACGCCCAUUACAUAACAACACAUCACAUAAACACAUGAGCAGAGACAUAUAAAUCCAUAUUCGUACAUAUCAAAAUAGGACAUCCGCCUUGGCCGUACAGCAGAGCUCUCACCAAGAAACACCUCUUUUCUGACAAAUGCAACGUAAUAUGAUCACGUCCUGCUUAAUAACACAAAGCAUAGAGGCUGCUCUAAUACUUUUCUAACUUAGCCAAAGUUGUUGAAGAUAUAAGUACUUUUAAGUGCUCAGUAAUCUUUAUUAAAUUAGCAUGAUUGGACAUAAUUAAAAAAUGAAAAUUGAAUCAUUAUGAUGAUUGAAUUAGGUAGUUUGAUUGGUGUUAUUUUGUCUAAUUAUCAAGGAGAACAUUCAAUUAUAUACAAUAUGUCCUUCCUAUUUUCUCUUUUAAUUAAAUCAUAAAAAGACUUGCAAUAUUGAUUAUGUAUCUGUUAUGUUGGUUAUUGAAGUGAAUUAUAGUUGUUUUCGUGAUUGUCAAAUAUUGUCUUUGUAACUUAUUUAUUUUUUAUUUAUGAAAUCAAUGGGGAUUUUGCUCUUAUUGAUGGAUGUUGCUGGGUACUAAGAACUGAUGGUCGUAUUAAUUAAUCAGUAUAAGUUAGUUGAAAGUUCAAUGUUCAUGCACUUUUGAGCUACAUAAGGCAAGGAAAAUUGAGUGACUUUAUGUGAUGUAAUGUGACACUAUUCAAUUAAGCAACUCUACUUUUUAGUGAUGGACACAAAUGAAACUAGUGGACUUGCAUUAGCUAGAUGAUAAUUAAAAGGCCAAGAUUAUAUCUUUAACACCCCAGUCCGAAAUCCAAGGGCAAAUAUGUCCACAACUCACAUAUGAUUUAAAUAACUCUUUACAAACAAUAAAAUCCGAGCUUCAAAUACAAAAGCCAGCGGAAUAACUUAAAAAUUUAGCCAAACCAUCUACCAUCUUUAACUUGUCACUCAUCACGAAUCAAUCCUGGAUCUACUAUCCUCAAUUUAAAUCCAUCUUCUCACUCAUCGCGAAUCAAUCCUGACUUCUGGAAACUGAAUCACAAUAAACUAUAACGAGUACAAAACCCAGUAAGCAAACUAGUUUUUUUUAUACCAAAAUACAUCCAUACUUAUACAUAAUGCAAUGGAUGAUAUGCCAUGAUCUUUUGGAAAUAUUGUAAAAUAAAUUCAUAAAAAUCUAUUUCUGUCGCUUUCAAACUUUCUCAUUUUCUUUCGAUGAAAUACAUAUCCUGCAAUGUGGCACUUUGUGCUGUACGUGGUACUAUGCACCAUGCGUGGCACUUUGCUGCGCUCUGGCCCUCAAGAGGUGGCCCCCGCAUAGUCUCAAGAGGUGGCCCCCACACAACUUCAAGAGGUGGCCCCCAAUGCAAAAUCUCAUAAAACAGAAAUUCCGUUUGCUAAAAUCCACUUUCUCAUUCAUAGAAAACUCAAUGCAUUUUCGUGCUCAUGCCAAUGAACCAUCACACAUACAUAUGCCCAUGUACAUAAUCACGCCCAUUACAUAACAACACAUCACAUAAACACAUGAGCAGAGACAUAUAAAUCCAUAUUCGUACAUAUCAAAAUAGGCUUUUCAUACAAGUCAGACAUAUAUAUUAUUUAUUGUGAUUCGUUUUAAAGUCUAGUUCACUUACCUCUUGGCAUCCUCAUGUAACAAGUGCGUACUGAUACCAUCAACCUAAAAUCAUCAAUAAAUUCUCAUAAGAUAUAAUCAAAUCUCAAUCAUAAACUCUAAUGUCCUCAAAUAUCUCAAUUUAAACAACUCUUAAGCUCAACCUCAAAUGUCCUCAAUAAUCGGUCCUCAAAACAUAACAGUCCAUACUUCUCCGAUUUUUAAUAAAUUAUUCUCUUAUUGGAAGAAUCUCAAAUUUUACAGACCAUAUGCUGACACAUUGAAAGUUCAUUGCUAAAAAUUUCAUAACAUAAUUCCUUCCAAAACGAUUGAAAAUAAUUCACGGUUCAGACAUCAUCAAUACUGUCAAACAGUUUUCUGUUUUGAACACACUUGCUUUAAAAAUACAAAAAAAUUUAUUUAUUUAUCAUAAAAUCAUGAAAAUUUCCAGAAUCAUACUAGACAUAUAUAAAAAUCAUUGGUCCAAAUUUCAUAAUUUUUGAAGAAGUCUAGAUAUGGUAGAAAUAAUUUCGUAAUUCACGUUAUUCACUGAAAUCAUAAAUUUCCAGGUUUUCAGACUUGAAUUUGAAAAAUCAUAAUUAAUUGAAAUCUUAUCCGAUUAACUUGAAACAAGUUUCAAAACAUUCUAGACGAUGUCUAUUUUAACAUAUCCAAAAAUCACAAUCAAAAUCAAUUUAUACAAAGUAAUAUGAUUUUCGUAAUAAUUCACUGUCAGCAUAUUUCUGUAAAAUCGUAGGUUUCUACUUCUAUUGCAAUCAUGCUUCUCCACAACAAUUUAAUGAAAACCAAGAUUAAAACUUACCUCCAAAACUUCUCCCAACAAUAACAAUUUGAUCUCAUGUGUUGCCUAUGGCAGAACUAAGAAGAAGAAGAAGAAGACUUUCUUCUUCUCUUUUUCUUUUCUUUUUCUCUCUCUCUCUCUCUUUUUCAACCGAUCCCUCUUUUCCUCUUUCUCUUAUAAUGAAAAAGACAUCUUGUUCUAUUUAUACUAGGGUAAAAAUGAUCACUAAAAAUUAAAAAGACUUAAAUACCCUUAGGAGAUUUGGGGUAUUACAAUAUCCCCAUCAUAAAUAACAACUAACAAUCCAACAUGAUCCAGCAUCAAUUAAUUUUCAGUUUCUUGUAUUAUCUUCUUUUUCAAUACAUAAAAUGGCAACUUCAGGAGCUUAACGCUAAUUUCACUGUUUUGGGUACCUUUUUUAUAUUUCAUUAAACCAAAGAAGUGGGAGUUCAAUUAAAGGAGAUUUUGAAUGAUUUAUUUAAUUAUAAAUUGUUCGUAUUAUGUUUAAGUGAAAAACAGGGGAACUCCUUCAGUUGGCCUGACUUCCCAAUUGAAGUCAACUCUCUGCAUUAUAGUAAAAAGACAGAGGCUGCUCUGCCUUCCCAACCUAGUUCAUCUCUUGAGGAAUUUCGCUUGAUAGAUUAUUUUAAAUUAUUUAAAUUAUUUUUAGUCAAACUCAAGACAACAGACUUCUUUCAUGUCAUCACUACUAAUAUUUUUAUUUCUUAACACAAUUUAUCAGUUAUUGUUAUGAUGAGUAUAUAUCUUCUACACACGUAUCACAUUUUAUAUUUGUUUUUCUGCUGUUGUUUAUUUGUGUAGAACCUCCUUUGGUGGAGAAGUGAAAAAUUAAAGCCAAAGAAAUUAGAACCAUAGAAUCUGUGUGUACAAAUUUGUUAAUAUAUGCUUUUAAAUAAUGAAUUAUUCUUUAUGUUGAGGAAGAACGUUUUAUUAUGGUUUAAGGUUUAUAUGGGUGCGUGCGCACUAUGGUUAGAUGAGUUUCAAAAGUAUUAUUAUUCUGUUUACUUAUAUUGAAUUGUCCAUACUAAUAACUUGAACUGUGAGAUUUUUUGUAAUAAAAAUAUGCAUGUUCGAAAUAAAUUCUAGAGCGUGAAUCAUCUCACACUUAUUAAAAAUUAUAUAACUUUAAUUUUUUAUUUGAGAAAUUAUCAAGCGCACUCGUUCAACUUUCUGACUUUCUAUAUCUAUUUCUAUUCACUUCCUUUAAUAGCAAUAAGCCAAUGACUAUUAGGUGUAUCAUAAAAUUGAAUGCUUAUGUUAAAAUAUCUUUAUUCAAAAUGUUCCUGUAUAUGAAUCAUCUCUUAGUUUAGAUUUGAAUUCGAUUUAUCACAUCACAAUGUACCGCGUCUAUAAUCUUAUUUGCAAGUUCUUCGUGACUUCAUGACGAAAAUUACAAAAAUGUAUUAAGCAAUUAGCAAGUUGUUACAAAUGAAACCAAUAUCUUGAUGGGUUCAUUAAUUAAUAACAAUUUUUGCUAAUAACAACACCAAAAAAAAAAAAAUUUAUUCGAGGUGUACUCUAUCUGGUAUAUGACAUGAAUUUACGAAAAUGUACAUAGAAAUUUGAGAAUGUUGGAUAAUUGAGAGCUCGAAGACAGUACGCAAUUCACUUUCCCCUGUUUAUUGGCUCUCCUUAGGUUGUGUCUUCAUUAUUUGUCUAUUCUUCCAAAUGUUUUCUGAAAAAAAAAAAAAAUCAAACCAAUUGAAUCAUGACUAUUAUUGUGAUAUUAAAAUUUUUAAAAAAUAUUAUUUCAAAUUCAAAUAGUAUAUUUUGAAACAAACAUAUUAUUAUAUAAAUUAAUAAUUAAUAUGUUCUCAGCAUUGUUUGCUUCUUUUUUAAAUUAAUUUCAAUUUGGAUCUUAUCUUUGACUUUUGGAAUGCGAAAAGAUCUGCAGUAAAGAAAUUAUUCAGUGUCAAUAACACCUACUUCUUUUUUAAACUAUUUGUAUAGGAGAAUUAUCAUCUUUAGUAUGAAAAAAUAAAACCGUACAAUAAUCUUAUUACUGUUAAUAUAAAGCAGCUAACUAUUAAAUAAUCUUCUUAAAAUAAAUUAAUAUUCAAAUAAAACAUAAUAGAUACCAACUCAAGAUAAAUCAAUUCUAAAAACGUGAUCAUAUUUUUCCAUAAUAAUGAAUAUUUUCAUAAAUCAUUAGUUUAUUAAUUUGCUUAAUAAUUGAUAUUCGUUAAAUUCAAUAAAUUUUUUUAUGGUGCAAAAGCCUGUAAAUUUAUUGAGAUUUUAUUAUAUUUGUUACAGGAAACAAUACAAUUUAUAACAAUAUACUGUUGCAGUGGGACUAACAAAAUGUCUAGCAAUUCUCUUUUUAUAGAUAACAACCAUUUGAUUUGGAUGACAUUAACCAUGAAAAUGUUAAUAACACAUUAUUUAAAAAAAAAAAAAGCAGUUUUUCUAAUGAUUAAUCAAAGGAAAAUUCAAAGAAGAAAAAUAAAGGAAAAGAGCCAUAGGUGCUCCUGUUGGGAAUGACCAUUUGCAAUUUUUGCUAUCCUGCCACAGUUUGCUUAAGUCUAAUAUUUGAAUGAAUGUAUUUGUAAAUCCAUAUACUAGUCUGGUAAGGUGGUGGAUACUUAUUUUAUGUUCAUAAUUACAUUUGUCCACAAUUGAAAGAAAAAAAAAAUACAUGCUCCAGAUUUGCUGUCGAUAUUUCCAGAACUAGUCAAGCGUUGCAGAGAAGAAAGCAAAAAAUCACAAAACCAAUUAGAUGCAAUGGGUUCAGACGGUAGCCAAAAACACCACUUCGUUAUUCAUUUACAAAUCCCAACCGUUAGAUCAACGUAAUUAAAAUCUAACGGCUGAGCAGAAUAACGACAAAAAAGAGGGGUAUGGAGCUGGAUCCCGGAGUAAAGAAGAAGAAAAAUUAACUACUGUAUAUGAAUUUUUUUUUUAAGAACAAUACAUUUUGUGACAAUUUAAAUAUUAUUUUUGUUAAAAAGUUAGAUUGUGCAUCAACAUAAAAUAAGGUUGAAAUUAAUGAGUACUAAUAUGAAAGAAGUGAUAAAGUUAGUUUGUACAUACACAAUUAAAAUUUCGUAUGCGUUAUUUCGAGAGCGUCAGUGUAAUUCUUGACGUUAUUAUUAUCGAUCUUGUAUCUUGGUAGUAUUGUGUUGAUGGCCUGGCAGUAUUUGGAUGCUGAGUUGCUUACUUCGAAUGCCAGAGCUAAGUUAUAGUUCACGAAUUGCCAUCGUAUGGUUCAAUAGCCAAGCAAGUCUUCAAUUAUUUGUUGAUUUGAUGAGCUACUUAUAUGCAACUAUAAGUCAAUUUGAUUCUUUGACUAAUAAGAACUGCCAUUCUGAACUAAAGGCCGGUGAGCUGAGGAUUAUUGCUAAAAUAUGAGUUCUAUCAUGCAUUUUCUAUACUAUGAAUUGUUUGAGCUUAUAAACAAAGACAUCAAAACAUAGAUUUGGAAUUGAUGUUCAGCUUUAUCUUUUAGGGCCUGUGCCAUCCCAAUACCCACACACAAUAUAUAUAUAUAUAUGUGUGACCAAGCUACUUAGUGGGGAUGGCCAUAAAAUAGACGUAAAAGUGGAAGGCCACAAUUCCCCAUGAAUACAGCAAAAUUAAAUAAGGAAUUCCAAUACCAUCAAUUCUGCUUUUUAAUUUCAGGUUGGAAACUAGUGAAACUAGAGGCUCAGGUGAUUUAAUUCAGUAUAUAUUUAAUAAAGUAAAAAUAGAACCAGCAUGGUAGCUAGACACAGUUUAACUGGUGCUAUGAAAGCAGCAGUUUGUUUCUGCAGUUUUCUAAGUUUGAGUAAUAUUAAAAUUCAAAGUUAGUAUUCAAUGGGUAAGGUUUCUUAUCCCUAAAAUUCUGUUAAAAAAAAAAAACCAAAAACCAAUCCCACAGAAAGGAAUACAAAUUGCAGGACCAUUCAAAAGAUCCUAGAGCAAGAGGAAAUUUUGUAAUCAGCUUGGAGCAGUUUGCAAGGCAACUUCAAUAACAAAAAGAAAAUAAAAUAAAAGAAAGCACAACAGGCGGUAACAACGAAAUUAGCUUUUGUUCUUUGUUAAAGUGGAAUUUAUUUGAUAAUUAGACUCGUGCUUAUAUAAUAGAUAACAUGCUACAGUAGUAAUAGGAGACAGUGCUUCUUUUUUGUCUACAAAAAAAUCGCAACAUUCAUUUUUGAAAGAAAUAAAAAAUAUAUGUAUAAUGGUAAAUAUUUGCUCUGUUUUACUCUAUUUAUUUGCUCCGCAUUUUAACAUUUUAGCGAUUACUUUGUCAAAAUCGGAAGUUUGUAUUUCCUUCAAUUGCGUUGCAUUCAAUUACUUGAGCCUUCACAAACUAAAUCAAGCCAAAGUUGUUCCCUAAGCAAAUCUCUUCUAAAAAAUUUUCUAUUUUUCUAUUGAACUCUUUUACUAUACAAAUUCAUAAUUUCGUAAUUUGAAACUAAAUUUAUAUUAUAUGUAUUUAUAAAUUUUCCAGAUUAUGUUCUUAUUAUCGUUCUUGUAAUUGAUUUUGACAUAUCUCAUGUCUAAUAUUGUUUGUAUACAUAAUCAAAUCAUUUUUCAACAUUCUCUAAAGUCUUAGAUCAUAAUUAAUUCAACUUCUAUUUAAUAUAUAGUUACAAAAUGGUUAGUGAAGUGAUAAAAUAAACUCAAAGCAUUGCAUAUAUAUCUCUUUUAAUUGUCAAACUAUUUUCUUGCAAACAAUGCUAAAUUUUUAUAGCAUCAUUUUAUUGCCAAAUAUUUUUCAGUAACUAAAUAUUUCAUUAUUACAUGAUCAAUAUUUGUUCUCUAUCAAUUCUCAUUACACGCCACAUCGAUAUCAUUCCUUAUUAUUCUUUCUUUCUAUGUUAAACCAACUCAAAUCAAUUACAUCUUCUAUAUGAAAUUUUAUAAAAUUAUGAAAUGUUUUUAAUCUCAUAUUAUUAACGUAUAGAAUUCGUAUAGCAUUCGGUUUUGUAUAUAGAAGUCGUAUAGAAUUCGGUUUCAUAUUUAAGGCAAUUAGAUUUGUAUAUAUAUUAUGAAUCUGUAAUGCUUUUCUACUUAGGAUUCUAUUCUUUAGGGCUGUACAUCUAUAUAUAUAUGUAGCAACGUUAAUGCAAGAGUAAGAGAGUUUUAUUCAUAAACUCCGUUCUUUAUUUUACAUGGUAUCAGAGCUUUACUCACUUAUCAAAUUAUUAUCUUCGUUCUUUUGCUUUUGUUUAAAUACUCAUGGCAGCUGGUCAAUCAUCAAAACAGGCUGCCAUCCUUAAUAAACAAGAGGAUGAUGUCUUCCUUGUCCACCCAUCAGAUAGUCCAACUGCUGUAUUGGUUUCUCCUUUACUCACUGGUGAUAACUAUGGUACAUGGGUAAGGGCAAUGACUAUGGCUUUACGAGCGAAAAACAAGCUCGGUUUUGUUGAUGGAACUAUAUUAAAACCAGAUGAAGAUGAAGAUGAUGGUGGUAGAUGGCGGUAGAUGGCAACGUUGUAAUGAUCUUGUUGGAUCUUGGGUGUUGAACUCUAUAUCAAGUGAACUUGCGGGAAGUGUGUUGUAUGCACAGUCUGCUAGAGAAGUAUGGCAGGAUUUGCAAGAACGUUUUCAGCAGACCAAUGCGCCAAAAAUCUAUGAACUCAAACAGGCCAUCUCUAAUUUACGACAAGGAGAUGCAUCUGUUUCACUUUAUUAUACUCGCAUGAAGGCGCUUUGGGAUGAGUUGAAUUCUCUACAACAAAUAGGACCAUGUACUUGUGCGAAUGCAAAAACUGUCAGUCAAUUGCAGCAACUAGAUCGAGCUAUCGAAUUUCUUCAAGGCUUACAUGAUAGAUAUGCAACAACGAGGAGUUAGAUUUUGUUGAUGGAUCCUUUUCCUAAUGCAAAUAAAAUUUAUUCCCUGGUGAGGCAAGAAGAAAAACAACAAGAUCUUCACGCUAUAAAGGGAUCUCCAGAAGCUGCAGCAUUGACAACACAAAGCCGAAAUUCAUUUGGAAAUAGGAAUUGGAAUAACAAUUCUGCAGUAGAUAACAAAGGAGGAAACUUGAAUGCAAAUGGUGGCAGACCAUCGUGUGAACACUGUGGAAAAUUAGGCCACACAAAACAAAAAUGUUUUGAGUUAAAUGGAUAUCCACCAAAUUGGAGAAGACGUGGACAAGGUAAUAAAAAUGAGAUUAAAGCUGCCAUGGCGACAAAUAGCAAUCAAGACGUCCAAGCACCAAUAUUUACUCAAGAGCAAUAUCAAAAACUCCUAUCUAUGUUGUCCUCUUCAGGUAGUCUACAUACUGCGAAUCUUGCAGGUAUAGUGCUUAAUUCCUCUUUAUCAUAUACUUGGAUCAUAGAUACAGGCGCUACUAAUCAUAUGUGUAGUUCGCUAGAUUUUUUUCACUCCUAUGAACCAUGUCAUGUUCCUCUUCACGUUCAAUUACCAGAUGGUACAGUAGCACAAGUUACUCACAUAGGGAAAGUCUCAUUUUCACCAGAUUUUUUAUUAGACAAAGUAUUUUACAUUCCAAGUUUUAAGUUUAAUUUACUGUCUGUUAGUCAGUUAACUAAAUCAAAUAGAUAUAAGGUAAUUUUUUCUUCCAAUUUUUGUGAGUUUCAGGACCUAUACACGAAGAAGCAGAUUGGCAAGGGUAGACUUCGUGAAGGUCUUUUCUACAUCCAACUUCCAGCUGCAUUUUCUUUCACCUCCCAAAUCACCUCUACACAUGAGAUUGAUCUUUGGCAUUGGAGACUUGGCCACCCUUCUCUUGGACGUUUAGAGCAUUUUUCAAAAACUUGUCCUAUGGUUAGUUUUAAUAAAGAAUAUGUUUGUGAUAUUUGUCCUAAAGCAAAACAAACUAGAAAGCCAUUUUCCAUUAGUAGCAUCAAAAGUAAAAUACCUUUUGAAUUAAUCCAUUGUGAUGUUUGGGGUCCUUUUUCAACUUCAAGUUUUUCAGGGGGCUCAUUAUUUUUUAACCAUUGUUGAUGAUUAUACUCGAUGCACUUGGUUAUAUUUAAUGAAAACCAAAUCCGAAACCCAAUUGCAUUUAUGUUCUUUUCAUGCAUUGAUAAAAACUCAAUUUAAUGCUAACAUUAAAAUUGUGCGUUCUGACAAUGGGACUGAAUUUCUUGUUAAAGAAUUACAGAAAUUUUUUUUAGACCAAGGGAUUAUUCAUCAAAGAAGUUGCGUUCGAACACCGCAACAGAAUGGUGUGGUUGAGCGUAAACAUCGCCAUCUUCUCGAAGUUGCGCGAGGUCUACGUUUUCAAGCCAAUUUGCCAAUUAAAUUCUGGGGGGAGUGUGUUCUUACUGCAGCAUAUUUGAUCAAUAAAUUGCCUAGUGAUGUUCUUAAUGGAAAAACCGCACAUGAAAUGCUUUUUGGUAUAGCACCAAAUUUAUCACGCCUAAAAGUUUUUGGUUGCUUGUGUUUUGCCAAAAAUUUACAAGUUAAAAAUAAAUUUGAUCAGCGGGCGAAAAUGGGAAUUUUUAUUGGUUAUCCUUUUAGUAAAAAAGGAUAUCGAAUUUAUGAUAUUGAAUCUAAGGUAAUUUAUGUGUCACGUGAUGUUCUCUUUUAUGAACAUAUUUUUCCUUUUAAGGAUGUUAAAUCACCGAUUUUUUCUACACAUGUCACUAAUGAGUUUUUAUUUGAUGAAAAUUUUUUUAAGUCCAAUACUCUUUUAUCACCUUCUCCUAAUGAAAACAUAAGUUCAUCACAUACUCUUCAUGAAUGUGACCCACCUUUGCGAGACACAGAUCCAUCCGUGACCAAUUCUUCUUCUCCUGACACCACUCAUGAACACAUCAUAACUGAAACAUCAUCUACCCAACAGCCUGGUUCACCAGCAGAUGCAACCUUAGAUUCAUCACUUUCUUUAGGCAACCAAAAUAUCCAAACUCCCACACGACCCCAACGUGAUAGACGCCCACCAGCUUACCUUCAAUUAUUGUACCUUGGCUUCUCACAAUUCUACCCAUGCUGAUCUUGUUCUGCGUCCCCAGGUAAGAAAUAUCCUCUUCACAAUUUUAUUUCUUACCAUCGUUUUUCUCCAGCACAUAAGUCUUUUUUGUCUGCCAUUACCUCUACAACCGAACCAAGUUUUUUUCAUGAGGCAGUCAAGUUACCUGAGUGGCGCAAAGCCAUGGAGGAUGAGAUAACAGCUCUUGAGAAAAAUAAUACGUGGACUCUAACUCAUUUGCCGAAUGGUAAAAAGGCUAUUGGCAGCAGAUGGGUUUACAAAAUUAAAUAUCAAUCCGAUGGCACCAUUGAGCGUUACAAAGCUCGUUUAGUUGCUAAGGGAUAUACUCAAACAGAAGGCAUUGAUUAUCAUGCUACUUUUUCACCGGUUGCUAAGCUUGUCACUGUGAGAGCUUUACUUUCUCUUGCGGCUGUUAAGGGUUGGAUUUUAGAACAAUUAGAUGUAAGCAAUGCUUUUUUACAAGGAGAUUUAGAGGAAGAAGUUUAUAUGCAAGUACCACAAGGUUUUUCUAAGCAGGGGGAGCAUCUAGUCUGCAAACUCAACAAAUCUAUCUACGGAUUAAAACAAGCAUCCAGAAAUUGGUUUUCCAAGUUUUCUGCUACCAUUCAACAAGCUGGUUUUCGCCAAUCUAAAGUUGACUAUUCAUUAUUUGUAAAAACUAAUGCCAAAUUUUCAACCUUUGUGUUAGUUUACGUUGAUGAUAUUAUCGUAGCAGGGAAUGAUGUUGCCGAGGUUAGCAGAAUUAAAGAUUUUCUUGCACAGAAAUUUUACAUCAAGGCAUUAGGGAAGUUGAAGUAUUUUUUGGGGAUAAAAGUGGCACGGUCAUCAUGUGGGAUCUUCUUGAGUCAGCGAAAAUAUGCCCUGGAUAUUUUAAAGGAUGCUGGUUUACUUGCUGGACGAGUUUCUCAUUUUCCAAUGGAACAACAACUUCGGCUUUCAUCUACGGAUGGCGACCUUUUAUCAAAUCCCUCAAGUUAUCGACGUCUUGUAGGUCGGUUGAUCUAUCUCACAGUUACCAGGCCUGAUAUUGUCUUUGCAGUACAUGUUUUAAGUCGAUUUAUGCAUGAACCACGAACUACUCAUAUGGAUGCUGCCAUUCGAGUGCUUCGGUAUUUAAAAGGCUCACCAAGCAAGGGUAUCUUAUUAUCUUCAACAAGUGACUUACAUAUCCGAGGUUACUGUGAUGUGGAUUGGGGUAGUUGUCCUACUACACGUCGGUCUGUUACUGGUUAUUGUACUUUCCUUGGUGACAGCCCUAUAUCUUGGAAAACAAAGAAGCAAAAUGUGGUCUCUCGAUCUACAGCAGAAGCUGAGUAUCGCUCCUUGGCUGAUCUUUCAUGUGAAUUACAGUGGCUCAAAGCACUCUUUGCUGAUUUGGGGCACCUUCAACAUGAUCCUAUGACUGUUUAUUGUGAUAAUCAAUCAGCUUUAUAUAUCGCCGAGAAUCCUGUCUAUCAUGAGCGAACAAAGCACAUUGAGUUAGAUUGUCAUUUCGUGCGAGAGCGUGUGCAAUCCAAUUUGUUAUUACCACUGCAUAUUCCUACUUCCAUGCAAAUAGCUGAUGUGUUUACAAAACAUCUCCUUUGACUGGAAUAGGAAUUUGAAGGCUCAACCAAAUUGAUUUGAUUUAAAUUUUUGACUCAUGAAAGGUGGCAUGAUACAGAUUCAUGCACGUAGCUUUUGUAUGUCCAACUAAAAUCAUAACCAUGUGAUUAGAAUAAUAAUGCUAUCUUAUCAUAUAUAACUUAUGAAGUAGUCAUGCCAAAAAGCGGCUGUAAUACAUAAGCAUUUUUUAGUUGCAUAUGCAUGAUUGUGUAUCUGUCGGUUGCUAAGCUUGUCACUGUGAGAGCUUUACUUUCUCUUACGGCUGUUAAGGGUUGGGUUUUAGAACAAUUAGAUGUAAGCAAUGCUUUUUUACAAGGAGAUUUAGAGGAAGAAGUUUAUAUGCAAGUACCACAAGGUUUUUCUAAGCAGGGGGAGCAUCUAGUCUGCAAACUCAACAAAUCUAUCUACGGAUUAAAACAAGCAUCCAGAAAUUGGUUUUCCAAGUUUUCUGCUACCAUUCAACAAGCUGGUUUUCGCCAAUCUAAAGCUGACUAUUCAUUAUUUGUAAAAACUAAUGCCAAAUUUUCAACCUUUGUGUUAGUUUACGUUGAUGAUAUUAUCGUAGCAGGGAAUGAUGCAGCUGAGGUUAGCAGAAUUAAAGAUUUUCUUGCACAGAAAUUUUACAUCAAGGCAUUAGGGAAGUUGAAGUAUUUUUUGGGGAUAGAAGUGGCACGGUCAUCACGUGGGAUCUUCUUGAGUCAGCGAAAAUAUGCCCUGGAUAUUUUAAAGGAUGCUGGUUUACUUGCUGGACGAGUUUCUCAUUUUCCAAUGGAGCAACAACUUCGGCUUUCAUCUACGGAUGGCGACCUUUUAUCAAAUCCCUCAAGUUAUCGACGUCUUGUAGGUCGGUUGAUCUAUCUCACAGUUACCAGGCCUGAUAUUGUCUUUGCAGUACAUGUUUUAAGUCGAUUUAUGCAUGAACCACGAACUACUCAUAUGGAUGCUGCCAUUCGAGUGCUUCGGUAUUUAAAAGGCUCACCAUGGAACUAUCUGCUGUACGGCGAAGGCGGAUGUACGGUACAGCAGAUUUAAAUCAAACUUCUUCUUUAUAUCAGCAUAAAUGAAAGUAUUAGAUUAAGGUUGUGAAAGUAUAUCAAGUAUGCAAAUGUUGACACUAGGUAGUGGGAGGAGAGUUAGUGAAAUGGAAAGGGAUAAACUUUAGCCUAGAAAAAAGGUGGAUAUGCUUAAGUAAUCGGACUCAUUCUUUACCUUUGGAAAAAUCAUCUCCUUUGACUGGAAUAAGAAUUUGAAGGCUCAACAAAAUUGAUUUGAUUUAAAUUUUUGACUUAUGAAAGGUGGCAUGAUACAGAUUCAUGCACGUAGCUUUUGUAUGUCCAACUAAAAUCAUAACCAUGUGAUUAGAAUAAUAAUGCUAUCUUAUCAUAUAUAACUUAUGAAGUAGUCAUGCCAAAAAGCGGCUGUAAUAUAUAAGCAUUUUUUAGUUGCAUAUGCAUGAUUGUGUAUCUGUAAUUUGUUACUAUGACCUGCAGGAUUGAUGUAUUUCAAUUAUUUUGUGGAUUCCCAUAGAUUUGCUCCAUGGAGUAUGAAAAGUCUAUUGAAGAUUUUGUUUUUGUUAUUUAAUAUUUGUUGUUCUUUAAUUUGGGAUGCAGGAAGUGAGGCAGAGGAGGAAGGUGAUGCAACAGAAUAAUGCUUCAAAGUCUUGUAGAAAGCUUUCCCCUUUGAUUGACUUAGUAUUCAUUUUAUAGCUACCCAGUUGGUUACAAAGAUGAUCUUUUAAUGCCAAAGCCAACAAUUGUGUAAUGUUGUAGGUUGUAGCUUUAUCAAGCCUGUUAUUAGCAUAUUAGUAUGUGAAUCAUUUUUGUAUUCUUGGACAUGCAUCUCUUUGUUAAAAAUGUAUGCAGAUAUAUGUAUUCCUCUACCUUGUCAUAUGACUCAUAUCUAUCAGCGGCUCUUGAUUGUUUAUUUUCCAAGUAAUUAGCACUUUUGUUGUUGCUUGUAUAACUUUUUGCCGGCCAUUAUUUUUUUCAAUUUUUGUGUCAUGCUGCUUUCAUCAUGUAAAACUCGACUUGAUCAUGAUCGCAAAUUUUGAUAUUUAUUUUUAUGGUUCAUCAUCAAUAAGGUAUACAUUUGAAAAACGCAGUUAAAAAAAAAAUGUUACGAUAUCAAAAAUUCAGAAUUUGUUAUUUUUACAGAAGCUCUAUGAAGAAUUAUUAUAAUUAUUUACAUUUAUACUAAAAAAAUUGAUGUAAAUAUUCUAAAAUUUAAGGUUCUAUAUUUUAUAUUUUGCUAAGUACUAAUAAAUAUUAUUUCCAAACAUAUAAUUGAAAUUAACCACCAAAAAAUAAUGUAGUAUAGCAUAAUAUAGUGUAUGUAUAAUUAAAAAUUAAUAUAGUACAAUGGAGAACCAAACGUUGUAUAGUAUUAAUAUAAUACAGUGUUAAUGCAAUACAACAUAAUACAAUACACAUGUAUUAAAAUAAUGCAAUACAAUAUAAUACAAUAGUUAACCUUUUUGCGCAAAACAAUUUCAAGAACAAAUGCGAUGAACAUCCAAUACUUUGUGUAUUGGUCUAUAGUCUAAAUCCGUUGUCACGAAAGAAACAUUGUUGUGAUGUGUGUGCAUUAUUCUCUCAUUUUGAUUAUGUGUUAACUAAGAUUUUUUUUUUUCAAUAAUUUUCAGUUUUCUGUCAAAUGUAACAUAAUAUGAUCAUGUGUAACAUAAGAACACAAAGCAUGAAGGAAGCUCCAAUUUUUUUCAAACUUGGCCAAAGUUGUUGAAUAUCUAAAUCCUCAAGUGUUCUGUGUUUUUUUUAUUAAAUUAGCAUGAUUGGACACAAUAAAAUAAUGAAAAUCAAAUUAUUAUGAUGGUUGGAUUAGUUAGCUAGAUUAGUGUUAUUUUGUCUAAUCUGCUGUACCGUACAUCCGCCUUGGCCGUACAGCAGUAUAAAAGAAGUGAGAAAGUUUGUGCAUCACACAAUUAAAUUAGGCUAAAGUUUGUCUCAAUAAUAGUCUGAUUUGUAAAUAUCAGUUAUAGUCUCAUGUAAUAUGAGUUGUAGUUUAAGCAAUAGUCUCAUGUAAUAAAAAAAAAAGACUAAAAUUUAAAAAUAUUUAUAACAACCUACUUACACCCUACUGAUUUUGAGUUGGAACUAUUUUAAUUUGUUUUAACAUUUUUUUUAACUUCAACAAUUAAUAAAAGGUUAAUACAAGAGAAAGUGAUUCAUUUUGGUUGACUCCUCCUACAUUUGCUAAGCCAUUAACCAUAAUGAUGAAGAAUAUUAACAAAGUGAGUUUGAUUGAUACAAAAAUAUACUGUUUCUUUGAGUUAACAAAUAUGCAACAUGAUUCAGAAGUGGUCAAUGUGUUUCUCACCAUACAAUUAAAAAAGGAAUAGUGGAACUAAUUAAUUAAUUUUCAGCAACAAAAAAAAUUAAGAUUAACAUAUGAUAUGUCUGCAUUCAAGUUUAUAUAAUCUUAUUUUCAGUUACUUGGAACAUGAUGAAUUCUUGUUCUCUCUUAUUAAAUUGUACUCGCAUUUUUCUUUUAAAAGUAAAAAGUAUUCUCAAAAUUAAUUUUCCAUAUAUGGUGGAUGUUGUUACUUUUAGUUUGUGAUGGCCACGUAUAAAGAAACCAAACGAUAUUUGCUAAUUUGUGAGAUGGGAUACAAGCAUUUGAUGACAUUCGGAAAGCUUUUACAGCGUCAAUAUUCAGAAAAAAGUGAAAUCAAAUCAUAGAAAUUAAAAAUUUUUAAAAAUUAUCUUUUUUCUUUUUCUUUUUUCAUACAUUGAUUGAAUUUCAUUCUCAAAUGAAAAUUAUGACAAGUUAAAUAAAUUAAUCACUACAAUUAGUAAAUAUUAGAACCUCAAGUUAACUUAGUGAAUUAAUAACUUAAUAACACUACAUUUUCAUUGAAAUUAAUAAGUCUUACAAAUUCAUCUAACAUAAUCCGAUGCUAGUGACUCCUUUACAAAUGAUUACAUGUUUGCUUCGCUAGUUAAUUAAUAAAGUGAAAACAAAAGCAAAUAGAACCCCACACCAAUAAUUUUGCAAACAGCCAAACCCCAACGUCUCCUUUCAAAAAAGAGGGAAAAAAGAAAAAAAAUCAGAGAAUUACCACUUUUCUCUUUGUAUCAUUGUUAUUCGUGUUCAUACAGUGUUUCAAAAUAAAAGGAAAUCAUUCUGUACUGCUUUUGUAAAUAAGUGAAUUUGAAAAUAUUUGAAAAUUAGUCCCAUUUUCUGUUGAAAGAAAAAAUGCAUAGUAUCCAUUUUGUUAUUUUGUAAUUCUUUCAUUGAUCCUUGGUGUUAAUUCACCAAUGUUAAGUUCUUGAAACAUGAGCAUGCGAAGCUUGCUAAUUUAAUUAUUGAAACAUGAGCAUGCGAAGCUUGCUAAUUUAAUUAUUGUUGGCGGAUACUGUCUUUUAUUUUAAUUAGUGUAAUAUUUACGUUAUGUUAAUUAUGUUAUUAGUUUAUUAAAUAUAUACCUUUUAACAAACGAGUCGAUUUUGCAUUAUUUAAAAUUUCGACGCGAUGGGAAUAUGAAUAUAACAUUACAUUACAAAUUGGCAUUGUUUAUUGUAAAAAAAUGUCGUGCACAGCGCACUUAUAGUAAUAAGAAGAGAGAUUAAAAUCUUUUAAUUUAACUUACUUUUAUAAGUAGAAGAAUUGAUAAACUCUCUUCAAACUUUUGAAAUGAACCUGAAGAGACGGUCAGAGAAGAAUGAUUAAUUAACGCAGAAGAAUUAUAUUCAUGACAUUUAAGAUUAAAAAAAGGGUUCAUUGCUUUUGCGUUUUCUAUGAAGUAGUGCCUAAUUAAUCAUGUUAAGCUAAGGCAAAGAUUCUUGGUUCGGCUUUUAUUUAAUUUAGUAUGUAAAGCAAAUGCAUCAUCAUGAGCUCCAUUGAUUUUAUAUUUAUAGUGGGCUCUGAUUUUUCUUUUGCUUAAUGGGAAAUGGACAGUGAUACCCUAAAAAAAAAAUAAUGUUUUAAUAUUUUAAAAAAGAUAUAUAAUUCCUAUUUUUGUUAAUAAAUUCCAUUUGUUUUAAUAAUAAAUUUAUUUUUAAUUUAUAAUUAUUAUUAUAUUCCUAUAAUAAAUAAAUAAAUAUAUUGAUUUAAGACAUGUCAUCGAUGACAUGUAUAAUAAAACUAACAACUUUUUAUUUACAACUUAAAAUUAAGAUAUAAUUAUCUUUUGUCCAAAUUAUUCACUUUAAAUUAUGAAUAUAUCCUUACCAAUGAUAAAAAAUGAUGAAUAAUAGAUAAAAAUAAAAUCAAAUUUAUUUUCUUCGAAUGCCAAUUAGGAAAAAUGAGAUGUUAAACAUGGUUGUAAAUGAAUGAAAGCCAAUUGGACAAAUGGGAAGUAAAAUUGGAAGGCUCACUCUCUUAAGUUAAAUAUAUUAAUUUAUUUAUUAUAGGGACAUGAUAGUAAAUGUAAAUUAAAGAUUAAGUUACUACUAAAAUAAACAGAUUUUACUAAUAAAAAAGAGAUUAUAUAUCCUUCCCAAUGUUAACAUAUAUUUUUUUAAGAGAUUUUAAGCAAUGAUAAUAAUAAUAAUAAUAAUAAUAAUAAUAAUAAUAAUAAUAAUAAUAAUAAUAAUAAUAAUAAUAAUAAUAAUAAUAAUAAUAAUAAUAAUAAUAAUAAUAAUAAUAAUAAUAAUAAUAAUAAUAAUAAUAAUAAUAAUAAUAAUAAUAAUAAUAAUAAUAAUAAUAAUAAUAAUAAUAAUAAUAAUAAUAAUAAUAAUAAUAAUAAUAAUAAUAAUAAUAAUAAUAAUAAUAAUAAUAAUAAUAAUAAUAAUAAUAAUAAUAAUAAUAAUAAUAAUAAUAAUAAUAAUAAUAAUAAUAAUAAUAAUAAUAAUAAUAAUAAUAAUAAUAAUAAUAAUAAUAAUAAUAAUAAUAAUAAUAAUAAUAAUAAUAAUAAUAAUAAUAAUAAUAAUAAUAAUAAUAAUAAUAAUAAUAAUAAUAAUAAUAAUAAUAAUAAUAAUAAUAAUAAUAAUAAUAAUAAUAAUAAUAAUAAUAAUAAUAAUAAUAAUAAUAAUAAUAAUAAUAAUAAUAAUAAUAAUAAUAAUAAUAAUAAUAAUAAUAAUAAUAAUAAUAAUAAUAAUAAUAAUAAUAAUAAUAAUAAUAAUAAUAAUAAUAAUAAUAAUAAUAAUAAUAAUAAUAAUAAUAAUAAUAAUAAUAAUAAUAAUAAUAAUAAUAAUAAUAAUAAUAAUAAUAAUAAUAAUAAUAAUAAUAAUAAUAAUAAUAAUAAUAAUAAUAAUAAUAAUAAUAAUAAUAAUAAUAAUAAUAAUAAUAAUAAUAAUAAUAAUAAUAAUAAUAAUAAUAAUAAUAAUAAUAAUAAUAAUAAUAAUAAUAAUAAUAAUAAUAAUAAUAAUAAUAAUAAUAAUAAUAAUAAUAAUAAUAAUAAUAAUAAUAAUAAUAAUAAUAAUAAUAAUAAUAAUAAUAAUAAUAAUAAUAAUAAUAAUAAUAAUAAUAAUAAUAAUAAUAAUAAUAAUAAUAAUAAUAAUAAUAAUAAUAAUAAUAAUAAUAAUAAUAAUAAUAAUAAUAAUAAUAAUAAUAAUAAUAAUAAUAAUAAUAAUAAUAAUAAUAAUAAUAAUAAUAAUAAUAAUAAUAAUAAUAAUAAUAAUAAUAAUAAUAAUAAUAAUAAUAAUAAUAAUAAUAAUAAUAAUAAUAAUAAUAAUAAUAAUAAUAAUAAUAAUAAUAAUAAUAAUAAUAAUAAUAAUAAUAAUAAUAAUAAUAAUAAUAAUAAUAAUAAUAAUAAUAAUAAUAAUAAUAAUAAUAAUAAUAAUAAUAAUAAUAAUAAUAAUAAUAAUAAUAAUAAUAAUAAUAAUAAUAAUAAUAAUAAUAAUAAUAAUAAUAAUAAUAAUAAUAAUAAUAAUAAUAAUAAUAAUAAUAAUAAUAAUAAUAAUAAUAAUAAUAAUAAUAAUAAUAAUAAUAAUAAUAAUAAUAAUAAUAAUAAUAAUAAUAAUAAUAAUAAUAAUAAUAAUAAUAAUAAUAAUAAUAAUAAUAAUAAUAAUAAUAAUAAUAAUAAUAAUAAUAAUAAUAAUAAUAAUAAUAAUAAUAAUAAUAAUAAUAAUAAUAAUAAUAAUAAUAAUAAUAAUAAUAAUAAUAAUAAUAAUAAUAAUAAUAAUAAUAAUAAUAAUAAUAAUAAUAAUAAUAAUAAUAAUAAUAAUAAUAAUAAUAAUAAUAAUAAUAAUAAUAAUAAUAAUAAUAAUAAUAAUAAUAAUAAUAAUAAUAAUAAUAAUAAUAAUAAUAAUAAUAAUAAUAAUAAUAAUAAUAAUAAUAAUAAUAAUAAUAAUAAUAAUAAUAAUAAUAAUAAUAAUAAUAAUAAUAAUAAUAAUAAUAAUAAUAAUAAUAAUAAUAAUAAUAAUAAUAAUAAUAAUAAUAAUAAUAAUAAUAAUAAUAAUAAUAAUAAUAAUAAUAAUAAUAAUAAUAAUAAUAAUAAUAAUAAUAAUAAUAAUAAUAAUAAUAAUAAUAAUAAUAAUAAUAAUAAUAAUAAUAAUAAUAAUAAUAAUAAUAAUAAUAAUAAUAAUAAUAAUAAUAAUAAUAAUAAUAAUAAUAAUAAUAAUAAUAAUAAUAAUAAUAAUAAUAAUAAUAAUAAUAAUAAUAAUAAUAAUAAUAAUAAUAAUAAUAAUAAUAAUAAUAAUAAUAAUAAUAAUAAUAAUAAUAAUAAUAAUAAUAAUAAUAAUAAUAAUAAUAAUAAUAAUAAUAAUAAUAAUAAUAAUAAUAAUAAUAAUAAUAAUAAUAAUAAUAAUAAUAAUAAUAAUAAUAAUAAUAAUAAUAAUAAUAAUAAUAAUAAUAAUAAUAAUAAUAAUAAUAAUAAUAAUAAUAAUAAUAAUAAUAAUAAUAAUAAUAAUAAUAAUAAUAAUAAUAAUAAUAAUAAUAACUACAUGCAUUUUGCUCAAUUUUCUCAUUUUGCUCAAUUUUCUCAUUUUGCUUUAGAACUCAAAAUUCUGUUUCUUUCUGUACGGGAAAAAAAGAAAAAAAAAUGCCAAGCAUUUGUGGCUAAAGUGUGAGAUGAGAUACAAGCAUUUGAUGACAUUUAACAAGUUUUUUACUGCCUAUUUAGCAACGUCAAAAAGUAAAAGAGAGUGAAAUUAAAUCCUAAGAAUUAAAAUUAAUUUUUCUCCAAUAAAUUGAUUGGACCUCAUUCUUUAAUUACAAAUAAUGACAAGUUAAGUAAAUUUACUAGCACCACAAUUAGUGAACAUUAAUACCUCAAGUUAACUUAGGGUGCGUUUGGUACAUGUAUUGUAUUAUGUUGUAUUAUAUUAUUUUAAUACUGAUGUAUUAUAUUAUGCUGUAUUGCAUUAGCACUGUAUUAUAAUAAUACUGUACAAUGUUUGGUACUACAUUGUACUGUAUUAAUUUUUUGUGAUUAAUUUAAAUUAACAGAUUAUAUUAAUAUAUUUAAAUUAUAUUAAUAUUUUAUAUUAUUAUUUAUAUUAUUAUUAAUUUUAAAUUAAUAUUAUUCAAAUUUAUUCAUAUUUAAAUAUUUUUAUUAGUUAUAAUAAGUUAUAAAUUUAUUAAUAAAUUAUAAUGUAAAAAUAAAAAAAUAUACUAUUAUUGAAUGAUAAAUUAUUUAUUUAUUAAUUUAUAUUAAUAAUUAUAAUGCUGCUGUACCGUACAUNNNNNNNNNNNNNNNNNNNNNNNNNNNNNNNNNNNNNNNNNNNNNNNNNNNNNNNNNNNNNNUUUAUUAUUAUUUUAUUAAUAAGCAAAAGCAAAAGUUAAAGCAAACGAAAAUUAAAGCAAAAGCACGUGAAAAGUGAAAACGUUAAAAGGACAAAAAAAAAGAAAGUAAGCGGAGUUGCCGCAUUAGCUUAAACCCGACUCACAGUCGGGUUUAGCUAAUGCGGCAGUUUGCUGCAUUAGCUUGACUCAAUAAUGUAGUGUUGCUGUAGCUUUUUAUCUACCAAACAUGGGUUUGUAUAAAUUUAAUGCAAUGAGGAGCUUUAAUACAUCAACCAAACACACCCUUAAUGAAUUAAAUAAUAACUUAAUAACGAAUUAACGAUACAGUUUCAUCGAAAUUUACAAAUUCUUCUUACAAGAAAUUGUAAAUUCUAAGCGCAAUACCUACCAAUAAUCUGAUGCCCGCGAUCUUUACAAAUCAUUACAUAUUUACUUCACUAAUUAAUUAAUAAAGUUAAAACAAAAACAAAUAAACCCACGCUAUUAACUUUGCAAACAAUCCAACCCCACCAUCUCUUUUGAAAAAGAAAAAAUAAAAAAUACAAUCAGAGGAAGAAGACGCGUGUUUGAUUUUUACAAAUCGCUAAUAACUUUACAAAUCAUUACAUGUUUGAUUUUUUUUUUUAUAAUUUAUGUGCUCCUCUGAUUUUAUAUUUGUGGUGGGCUCCGUUUUACUUUUCACUUUUACAGUGGGUUUUUCUUGAUUUCUAGGCUUGCUAGACACAAUCACAAACUCAUUCCGCUUAUUCACUUUUCUCAUUUUGCUUUCCACAAACUCACAAUUCAGUUUCUUUCUCUGUCCAAAAAAACCCAAAAAAAGAAAAAAAGAAAAAAUGUCGAUCAUCGGAGAGGCAAUCCUUACGGCGUGCGUUGAGAUGCUGAUCAAUAAAUUAGCUUCAGAGGGGAUUCGGUUGUUUGCACGCCAAGGUCGAAUCCAAGCAGAUCUAGUGAAGUGGAAGAAUAAGUUGGUGAUGAUCAAGGCGGUGCUUGAUGAUGCUGAGGAGAAGAAGACGACUAAUGAUGCUGUGAAGUUGUGGCUUGGCGAGCUUCAGAACUUGGUUUAUGACGUUGAAGACUUGUUGGAUGAGUUCCAAACUGAGGCUUUCCGGAGGAAGUUGCUGCUUGGAAAUGGAGAACCAGCUGCUGCUCAUGAUCAACCCAGCAGCAGUCGUACAAGCACGAAGAGUAAGUUUCGGAAGCUCAUUCCUACUUGCUGCACCACUUUAACUCCACGGUCGAUUCAGUUCGAUUACGCCAUGAUGUCCAAAAUCAAAAAGAUCAACGACAGAUUUCAAGAUAUUGAAGGAGGAAUACGCUCGCUGAAUUUGAUAAAAAGUUCAGCUGGGGGGUCCAAAAAAGCCAGGCAAAGGCGAGAUACAACUUCUUUGGUGGAGGAAGCCAAAGUAUAUGGCAGGGAAACAGAAAAGAAGGAAAUUGUUGAAUUGUUGUUGAAGGAUGAUUCAAGAAGAUGAUCAAGGCGGUGCUUGAUGAUGCUGAGGAGAAGAAGACGACUGAUGAUUCUGUGAAGUUGUGGCUUGGCGAGCUUCAGAACUUGGCUUAUGAUGUUGAAGACUUGUUGGAUGAGUUCCAAACUGAGGCUUUCCGGAGGAAGUUGCUGCUUGGAAAUGGAGAACCAGCUGCUGCUCAUGAUCAACCCAGCAGCAGUCGUACAAGCACGAAAAGUAAGUUUCGGAAGCUCAUUCCUACUUGCUCCACCACUUUUACUCUGCAAUCGAUUCAGUUCGAUUUCACCUUGAUGUCCAAAAUCAAAGGGAUCCACGACAGAUUUCAAGAUAUUGAAGAAGGAAUAGGCUCGCUGAAAUUGAUAAAAAGUUCAGCCGGGAGGUCCAAAAAAGACAGGCAAAGACCACCCACAACCUCUUUGGUGAAUGAAGCCAAGGUAUAUGGGAGGGAAACAGAAAAGAAGGAAAUUGUUGAAUUGUUGUUGAAGGAUGAUUCAAGAAAUGAUGGUGGAUUCUCUGUUAUUCCUGUUAUAGGUAUGGGCGGGCUAGGCAAAACCACUCUUGCUCAGCUUGUCUACAAUGAUAAGCAGGUGGAGGAUCAUUUUGAUCUCAAGGCGUGGACUUGCGUCUCUGAUGAUUUUGAUGUUAUCAGGCUUACAAAAUCAAUCCUAAUUUCCAUUGCUCCUGGCCAGAAUGUGGAUAAUCACGACUUAAAUAAGCUUCAAGUGGACCUAAAUAAGACACUAUCUGGAAAGAAGUUUUUGCUUGUUUUAGACGACGUAUGGAAUGAUUGUUACGAUGAUUGGAUUCAGCUCAGCCUUCCAUUUGAAGCUGGUGCACAGGGAAGUAAGAUUAUUGUUACUACUCGCAAUCAGGAUGUUGCAGCAAUCAUGGGGACUGUUCCACCUCAUCCAUUAAAAAAAUUGUCAGAUAAUGACUGUCUAGCUAUAUUCGCUCAACAUUCUCUGGGGCCGCAUGAGUUAUUGGAGGAAAUUGGCAAGAAGAUAGUGACCAAAUGCGAUGGCUUGCCCUUGGCUGCACAAACACUUGGAGGACUAUUACGUGGAAGACAUGACAGACGGGUAUGGGAAGGUGUGCUCGGUAGCAAGAUAUGGGAAUUACCAGAACAGAGGUGUCGCAUUAUACCAGCCCUUGCAGUGAGCUAUUAUUAUCUUCCUCCAACUUUGAAACAAUGCUUUGCAUACUGCUCAUUGUUUCCAAAGGAUUAUGAAUUUGAAGAGGAGGAGAUAAUUUUAUUAUGGUGUGCUGUGGGUCUCUUGGAUCACGGAGAGAGCGGGAAUCCUAGUGAAGAUCUAGGUCGAAAGUUCUUUCGAGAGCUACGUGCAAGAUCUUUUUUCCAGCAAUCAAGCAACAGUAUAUCACGAUUUGUGAUGCACGAUCUUAUCAAUGACCUUGCCCGUUGGGCUGCAGGGGAGACAUACUUCACACUGGAGUAUACCUCGGAGGUUAACAAGCAACAAUGUUUUUCCAGAAAUCUUCGUCAUCUAUCAUACAUUUGUGGAGAUUAUGAUGGCGUUCAAAGGUUUGGGGACUUGUACGAUAUCCAACAUUUGAGAACUUUUUUACCAGUAAUGUUGACAAAUAGUGAGCCUGGCUACUUGGCUCCUAGCAUUCUUCCUAAGUUGCUCAAACCCCAACGCUUGAGGGCCUUCUCACUGCGUGGAUACCACAUCUUCGAGCUGCCGGAUUCAAUUGGUGAUUUGAGGUAUUUAAGGUACCUUAACCUGUCUGGAACUGAGAUUAGAACUCUGCCUGAAUCAGUCAACAAGCUUUACAAUUUGCAUAGUCUUUUGUUGGAAGAUUGUGAUCGGCUGAAGAAGUUGUGUGCAGACAUGGGAAACCUUGCCAAAUUGCAUCAUCUUAAGAAUUCAAAUACGAAGUCGUUGGAGGAAAUGCCAGUAGGAAUUGGCAGGUUGACUAGUCUUCAGACGUUGUGUAAUUUUGUUGUGGGAAAAGGCAGUGGUUCCGGGUUACGAGAGCUAAAGUUGUUGACGCACCUUCAUGGGACACUUAACAUUUCAAAAUUGGAGAAUGUAAAAGACGUUGGUGAUGCAAAGGAGGCUCAAUUGGAUGGAAAGAAGAAUCUUGAGGUGUUAAUGCUUCAAUGGACUCGCAGUGCCGAUGGUUCAUCUUCAAGGGAGGCUGAAACUGAAAAGGGCGUGCUUGACAUGCUAAAACCCCAUAAAAAUCUAAAACAAUUUUGUAUCAGUGGCUAUGGGGGCACAAAAUUUCCAACUUGGUUAGGAGAUUCCUCAUUCUCAAAUUUAGUGAUCCUAAAAUUUGAAGAUUGUGGUAUGUGUACUACAUGGCCAUCAGUCGGGCAACUGCCCUCUCUAAAGCAUCUUGCAGUGAGUGGAAUGAGUAAAGUAAAGAGAUUGGGCUCAGAGUUCUAUGGGAAUGAUUCUUCAACUCCUUUUCCAUGCUUGGAGACUCUUCGUUUUGAAGACAUGGAAGAAUGGGAAGAUUGGAUUCCUCAUGGAUCCAGUCAGGGAGUUGAAGGGUUUCCCAAAUUGAGAGAGCUUCAUGUUAUAAGAUGUUCUAAACUGCAAGGAACGUUUCCAGAACACCUUCCUGCAUUGGAGAUGCUUGCUAUUGAAAAAUGUGAAGAAUUGUUAGCUUCGAUUACGUGUCUUCCAGCUCUUUGCAAAUUAAAGAUUUAUGGAUGUAAAAAGGUUGUGUGGAGAAGUUCAACUGAUCAUCUCGGGUCACAGAAUUCAGUGGUUUGUGGAGAUACAUCAAAUCAAGUAUUUCUCACAGGGCCAUUGAAGCCGCGACUACCAAAAUUGGAAGAAUUGGAGAUAAAUGAUAUGAAAGAGCAGACAUAUAUAUGGAAGAGUCAUAACGAAUUACUGCAAGACAUUUGCUCUCUCAAAAGACUGACGAUUGACAGCUGUCCCAAACUUCAAUCCUUGGUGGCAGAGGAAGAGAAAGACCAACAACAGCAGCUCUGCGAGUUGUCAUGCAGACUCGAAUAUCUAAGAUUGAGAUAUUGCAAAGGCCUUGUGAAGCUGCCACAAUCAUCGCUCAGCCUCAGUUCCUUGAGAGAGAUAGAAAUCUACAAGUGCAGUUCCCUUGUUUCCUUUCCUGAGGUUGCUCUGCCUUCCAAGUUGAAGAAAAUUCAGUUUAGAGAAUGUGAUGCACUGAAAUUGUUACCAGAGGCAUGGAUGUCCGACACUAAUUCAUCUCUCGAGAUCUUGAGUAUUUGGGUUUGCCAUUCGUUGACAUAUCUUGCUGGAGUCCAGCUACCACGGAGCCUUAAGAGGUUGGUCAUCCUUAAUUGUGAUAAUAUAAGGACUUUGACAAUGGAAGAGGGCAUCCAGAGUAGCAGCAGCAGAAGGUACACCUCAUCUCUUCUUGAGCACUUACACAUUGAGAGUUGUCCGUCUCUGACACGUAUAUUUUCAAAAAACGAGUUACCGGCCACGCUUGAGUCCCUUGAAGUUGGCAAUCUACCUCCGUCUCUUAAGUCCCUUUCUGUUUAUGGAUGUUCGAAGCUGGAGUCAAUAGCAGAAAGGUUGGACAACAACACAUCUCUUGAAUACAUCAACAUUUCUAACUGUGAAAAUCUGAAAAUUUUACCGAGUGGUUUACAUAAUCUCCGCCAGCUUCAAGAGAUUACUAUACAGAGGUGUGGAAAUCUGGAGUCCUUUCCCGAAGGGGGAUUGCUUUGUGCGAAACUCACGAGGCUGACGAUACUUGAUUGUAAGAGACUAGAGGCCUUACCCAAGGGAUUGCACAAUCUGACCUCUCUUCAACAAUUAACAAUAGGAAAAGGAGGUGAGCUUCCAAGCCUUGAAGAAGAUGGCCUUCCCACCAACCUUCAUUCACUGUGGAUUGAGGAUAAUAUGGAGAUUUGGAAGUCAAUGAUUGAGCGGGGCCGGGGAUUUCACAGAUUCUCCUCUCUGCGACGUCUUACAAUCAUUAAUUGUGAUGACGACAUGGUGUCAUUUCCACC
rnacentral:lncRNA from 1 species